rnacentral:lncRNA from 1 species
UUCUUUUUUUUUUCUCAUCCAACGUAUAUACCCAUUGUUUGCAAAAUCUACCAAAAGGUGGAAGAAUUUGGUGGACAAUGUCCCAGGAUUGAUAGUUAAGUCAUGGUCUAAUACACGCUGGGAAAGUCGAAUAAAAAGUGUUGAAGUUAUCAGAUUCCAAACUUCUCAAAUAAGAUCAGCUUUAAUAGCGCUAGAGAAGGCUUCAACUGAUGACCCAAUGGCAGUUAGUGAAUGUCAAUCUUUGGUGAGUGCACUAGAGAAUUUUGAAUUUUUAGUUGGUUUAGUUAUUUGGCACGAUAUUUUAUUCUCUAUAAAUAAUGUGAGCAAAAAGUUGCAAUCUAAAAUUGUGAGUAUAGAUGAUACUCUCAAACAUAUUGAAGGUGUCAUAUCAUAUUUUAAGAAGUAUAGAGAUGAAGGUUUCACUUCUAGUAUGAAUACAACAAAAAAUAUUGCAUCUGAAAUGGAUAUAGAGCCAAAAUUUUGUACGAAAUAUCAAGGAAAGAGAAAGAAAUAUUUUGAUGAACAAGAUGAUCAAGAUGAGGAAAUACAAUGGUCUACCGUGGACUCAUUUAGAGUAGAGUACUUCAAUGUUAUGAUCGAUGCUGCAAUUGCUUCAUUGACUAGUAGAUUUGAACAGAUGAAAAAAUUUGAUAACGUUUUUGGGUUCUUGUUCAACUCAAAAAAUUUGAAAUCUUUGGAUGAAGCUGAUCUUUGGCUGCACUGCAAGAAUUUUGUGAAAACAUUUUCUCAAGAUAACUCAUCCGAUGUUGAGAUCAAUUGUUUUUUUCAGAAUUAAAGGUGCUACAAGUGACUUUUUCAGAUUCUUUGAUGUCAUCGCUUGAGAUUCUGGAGUUUGUUAUGGCUGCAGAUUGCUAUCCAAAUAUUUCAGUUGCCUAUUGAAUCCUUAACUGUACCUGUGACUGUAGCUUCGGCUGAAAGAAGUUUUUCAAAAUUGAAGUUGUUGAAGAACUAUUUGAGAUCAACUAUGUCACAAGAAAUGUUAAAUAGAUUGGCUAUUUGCACCAUCGAGAGGGAUAUCUUGGACACUAUUGAUCUCAAUACCAUCCUUGAUGAUUUUGCAUCAAGAAACGCCCGAAGAACUAUCUUUUUACGAGAAGCAAUGAAUAUUAUGGAGUUAUAUUCUUUCUUAAGGUAAUCACAUUAGUUUUAGUCUACAUUGUUUCUCAAUAAUUAUCAAACAUGUUAAAUUAAAAACAUAUCACUGGAUUUGUUUUCGUAUUGAAAAAAUUAGCGCUUAUAUAUUAUAAGAUUUAUAUAUAGUCUAGAGGACCUAUCGCGACAAGUUCGCCAGAGGACCCUCAAAAUCUUAGGACCGGCACUGUAGGGCCCCUGGCCAGAUAUUUUCCAGCGAAAAAUUUAAAUUUGACCAAAUUUUGAGAAAAAAUUUGCACUAUCGGUCCCUAACGAAAAAAAUAAGUUUCUGGUUCCGCCCUACUUGUAGCCAUUUGAGGCCUAAAAAGACUUGUAACCAUUUGAUUGAACAACCUGUUAGCAACUUUCUGCAUAACUUGUAUGCCGGAUUUGAGCCCCUUGUGUGUUAAAGGCUGAUGGGCUACUAGCAUGUUAAAUAUUUUCGUCUCUGUAUAGACGUUGGUAAGAUGAUAUAAUGGCAUUAUUGAGACAACUAAGUUACUAGCAUGCUUCAUCGCAUUUCCUGAAUGUAAUCCCAAAGUGAUGCAGCUUUGAAAAACUUUACCUAGCUACUUCGUGCCUUGAUCGAGGCACAGGUACGAACCAAACUCUGAACGAGCUUGUCCAUCUUUUUUUCCUAGUACAUUUGUUGGUUUCAUGCAAGUUCAAAACCACACAGUAAAGAUCAAUAAACAAAGCUAAUAGGAACUUUUCCUUCAAAAAGGUCAUCCCUUUUACAGGGAGGACGAAUCCCAUUUUUUAGUCAGCCGGAAGCUAUUUUACAUACCUAAUAUACACUUGCUUAACCACUAUAUUUUUAAAAGAUGUUAUAUACGAGAGUCUUCUUAGGUAGACGUGUUCAACUCGGCUUCGUCUUCUGGAUCAGUCUAUCGCACCUCCCAACUCGAACCCUCGCAGAGACCUAUCCUGCACUUCGCUUUAGGGCUUGUUUAGUUGAGGCUCGAAUUUGGCUUUGUACAGUAUUUGGGCCUCCUUUUGGGACUUUUGAACUAAACGGCCUGCCAAACUUCGAUCCAAAAUCGGCCUUUAGGAUGGCCCGAUUUCGGCCCAAACUUCGCAACCUUAUCCAGCGGCAGAUGACCGGCCGCACUCCCAACCCUAGCACCGCCCGCAGUCACGCUCCCUCUCCCCCGUGCCGCUCGCCUCUCCCUCGCCGCUCUCCCCCUCCCCGCCGCUCUCCCCCUCCCCCGCGCUGCUCGCCCUCUCCCCCGCCGGUGUCCUCUCCCCCGCCGCUCUCCCUCUCCCCCCUGCCCGCGCCGCUCGCCCUCUCCCCCACCGGUGUCCUCUCCACCGCCGCUAUCCCCCUCGCCCGCGCCGCUCUCGUCUCCCCCGCCAGUCUCCUCCUCCCCCGCAGAUCUCCCCCUCACCCGCACCGGUCGCCCUCUUCCCCGCCGGUGUACUCUUCCCCGCCGCUCUCCCCCUCGCCUGCGCCGCUCGCCUCUCCCCUGCCGCUCUCGUCUCCCCCGCCGCUCUCCCUCUCCCCCACCUAGAUCUGUCCCCCUCGGCCGCUAUCCCGCUCCCCUGCUAGGCUAUCGCUGCAUCCGCUCCAAUCGACCUUUCCACCUCCAGAUCCAGGACGUACUCGGUCCGUUGCACCGCGUCCGGUACCGGGUGCACCGUUGUUGACCCAGGCGGCGACGAUGGACCACUUCAACGACGAAAGGGAUGGCGCGGAGUUCAACGCCAGCGGAUCCAGACUCCCCGCGGGCUGCACCGCCGGCGGAUCCGGCAACCCCGCUCCCUUCAACGCCGGCGGAUACGGAGAUGGCUCUUCGGGUUUGGACUUCGGCAACGUCCCCGACUACGACGCCAGCCACCGCACCAAGAACUUGUUCUCCCUAGCGCCGCCGGGCUCAAGAAGCGGUGCGUACAACCCCUUCUCCUCCGUGCCACAGCAGACCCUGUCGUCCACCUUGCCCACCCCAAGCCAGCUGGGCAUGUCCGGCCUCAACCUCAAUGCAACCUCCGGGUGGCCGAACAUGAACGACUACGAAGGCAUCCUUCGCUCUGGCGACCGAGUGGGAGGAGGCGGCAGCAGCCGGGGCGGCCCUCCCGGCGAAGAGGCUUUCGGCAGCGGUGGCCAGGCCAUGGCUCCCUUGCCUCAUCAGCGGCGUCCUACGGCCAGGGCCCGUGGUUCCCGGCGUCGUGGCGCGGCUCAAGCAGUGGAAGCUGAGAACAAUCUGGUACUUGUUCCCACUCCCACUCCCCCUCUUUACUUCCAUGAUCUGGAUAUGUGGUGGCGCAUACAUUUAUCCCUAGUGUGCAUGAAAUGUAUUGCUUAGUCAUGGUUACUGUCAAUAGGAGUUCAUGCAUUGCUUGUUCAAUUACAUUUAUCCCUGGUGUGCAUGAAAUGUAUUGCUUAGUCAUGGUUACUGUCAAUAGUGGUUCAUGCAUUGCUUGUUCAAUUACAUUUAUCCUUGGUGUGCAUGAAAUGUAUUGCUUAGUCAUGGUUACUGUCAAUAGGAGUUCAUGCAUUGCUUGUUCAAUUGCAUUGUGCACAGAAUGAGCCAAGCAGGGCCAAGUGGACCUAAGAGGAUACACAGGUGUUUUGUGAGCUUUACUGCCAACAAAUUGAGUUGGGUAACUGCAAGAGUGGCAACAUGAGCAAGUGGGGCUGGAAAGAUGUUCAGGAGAAGUUCCUAGCGGCGACUGGCAAGUUCAGGAACAGUGAGCAGUUUGGUUACAAGUACAGGCAGUUGAAGUUGCUGUGGCAGUUCAUCCAAGAUCUGCGGACAAAGUGCACAGGCUUGGGGCACCGAGAAGAUGGCUCUGUGAUUGCUAGUGAUAAGUGGUGGCAGACCAAUUGCAAGGUUAGUGAUAUGUGAACACCUCAUAUGUACUCCUUUCCUUCCUGUCGUAGGUACUGAAUGUUUGUGUGCUGUUAUUUGCAAUGCAGGGGCACGCCGACUGGUAUGAUCUGAAGGAUGGAUGGCCAGAAUACAUUGACGAGCUGGACCGCAUGUUCUGUGGAGUAGCAGUGACUGGAGAUACCUCCUUUGUUCCUGGGGUCAGCCGGCAGAUCAACUUCAUCAGCAGCGGCGAAGAAGAUGUUGCUGAUGCGGACUGUGCCACCCCUCGCAGCUGUGCCACCCCAGUCAGCAGUGGGAGCAAGAGGAGCUCAAGCAGCAUCCGCAGCACUGCUACAAGCCCCAGCAAGAAGAACAAGGGCGGUGUUGUUCGGAACAUGAACAGCAACAUGACAAGGUUCAACUCCAGUUACGAUCAUAGGACAUCAAUUAUCCAAAGGGCCUUGGAGGAUAAGAUGAAGGAGGUUGAAGAUGUGAUGGACAAGAAGCGGCAGCGAGAGGAUGCUAGGAAGCAAGAACAGAAACUAGUGACAGAUUCAGCGACAGAGCUUGGAGUGCACCUGAUGGAAGGACAACUCUGGAACGGUGUCGUCAAGACCUGCAUGCAUGAUGACCUACGCAACAUCUUCCUGUGCACACCUGUUGAAGCAAGGCUGUCAACGAUCAAGCAAUAUGCCUCUAUGGUGUAAACCAGACCCUAUGUCUUUUGUGUGUGCUUGGCAUGUCUUUUGUGUGCUAGUCAUGUCUUGUUGUUAAAUUAAGUUGUGUUGGUAUUGUUUAUGUUGUGAUGAUGAACAUUUGAUGAACUGUGUUGGCAAAUUCUAUAUUAACAGCAUGGUUGUUCAUUAGAGCAGUUUGGUUAUUACUUGUUAAAGUUAUUGCCUCUGUCUUCAGAUGGGUGUUGUUUGACUGAAGGUAGCAGCAAUUAGUACUGUGGCUACCAAUUCAUUUCUACUAACUGUUGUUGUGUUCUUUUGGAAUGCGCAGGAUGUUGCUGCUCAUUUUGGUGCCCAAGUUGAAGAUUCAGUGGAAGAGGAGGUCAAGGACCAGGAGGAGGAGGAGAAGUUGCUGGCCGAGUGGUGGGAACUAUUCUGGACAUUGGUGGUAGAAGACGAUGAUGAAGCACCAUUUAUCUAUGGUACGUAUGGAUAUGCUAUUCAUAUGGACAAGUAUUGCAACAGAGGACCGUAUAGGAAUCCACCAUUGACUGGGGAGCAAUGGGUAGUUAACAAGCUUGCCAAUGAAACAUCCUGCUACACCAUGUUUAGGGUGACCCCACACAUGUUUUAUAGGCUGCAUGACUUGUUGACAUCUGAGUAUGGGCUGACAGCAUCAAAUAAAUCUAGCACUAUUGAGGCUUUAGGAUUGUUCCUUUGGAUAUGUGGGGCACCACAAUCUGUUAGGCAAGCAGAGGACAGAUUUGAGAGGUCACUAGCCACUGUGCAUAGCCUAUUCUACAAAGUCCUCAAUUGUCUGGUAGACCUAUCUGCCGACAUCAUUAAACCUAGGGAUCCAGAGUUUAGAACAAUGCAUCCUAGGCUGCAAAACAAUCGGUUCUACCCUGAAUUCAAGGGUUGCAUAGGAGCAAUAGAUGGCACUCACAUUCCUGUAGUUGUGCCAAGUGCAAAGUUUAUGCAGCACAUAUGUAGGAAGGGCAAGACAACCCAGAAUGUCAUGGCCGCUUGUGACUUGGAUAUGGUUUUCACAUUUGUGCUUACUGGGUGGCCGGGUUCAGUGCAUGACAUGAGGGUGUUUGACGAUGCAAUGACAACUUACAGCGACAAGUUCCCAAAGCCACCUAGAGGUACACACAACUGUUUCUAGGUCACUAGUGUUUUCUAAUACAACCAUUGUAAACUUACAGGUAUCUACUGUUCCUAUAGAGAAAUACUACUUGGUGGACUCGGGGUAUGCAAACCGCACCGGCUUCCUGGCUCCUUACCGCCAGACCAAGUAUCACAUCCAAGACUUUCAAAACGCGCCAGAACCACAAGGUAUGAAGGAGAUAUUCAACUUUGCACAUUCAUCUCUUAGAAAUGUGAUCGAAAGGGCGUAUGGAGUGUUGAAAAUGAAGUGGCGCAUAUUGUUGGACAUCCCGGCCUAUCCACCAGAAACACAGACAUGGAUUAUAUGUGCAUGCAUGGCGUUGCACAACUUCAUUAGGAUUAAUGGUGACUUUGAUAGUCACUUUGGUAUAGUGGACAGCAACAUUAACUAUGUGCCGGUUGAAGGCACUCAGGAUCAGCCGGAAACAGUGCCUGCGCCGGAGAGUGCGGACAUGGCAAGCAUGAAUGCAUUCCGAGACAUGCUUGCUGAACAUUUGUUUGCUAGGUCUUGAAUAAUUUGUGUUUGAGGACAUGUAAUUGUUUAUGUACUUUGUGAUUAGGUGUAACAAUUUUCGGUGUUGUGAAUCUGUAAUAAUUUGUGGUGCACUUGAGAAUAUUUUUCUUGAAGUUUUGUUGUUGAAACAGUAAUGAAUUGUGUUGUCAUUUGGCCUGGUUCAGUGUAUUUUUUUGGAGGACAACAGGUCAUGUUGAAUUGUUAGAUGAUAAAACAGGACAUUGCAAACUUUGUGAAGUCCUAAGUUGGGACCUCCAAAAUUUGGCCAGAGGGGCCAAUUUUUUAGCUGAACAGUAACUCCCAAGUUGGACCUCCCAACUUGGGCAACUAAACAUGGCAGAGUUCCUUCGCAAAGCUUCAGCGAAACUGUCGGUUAUCGAAGGUUGUUCCUCUCCUUAUGAUGCAGAUUCUGUCUUGGCAACAAACCUUGGAACUUGCCUCGAUGGACUCGGGUACCUACAGCACAACAACCAAGCAAAUAGACGCUUGCUGUUAUCUGUUAAAAGGAUCGAUGGUUAUUUAUGAGCAGUUCAAGGUCUCUAGAAAUCUCCCGUAAGCCUCGAGCUGGAUUUCCUGUUCUUAAGUUAGCGAGGGUCCGGGCGACCAUAGCAUCGCAACUGAUAACAUGCGAGGGUAAGUUUGGCAAGUGCUGUCCCCGCGAUCGACGCUCGAGGGUGUCCAUCCUUUUUUACGAUCCCAACAACAUUCAUGACAUUUAUAGAUGUUUUGAAAUUAUAUGUGGAUGGACAAUCAAGCUUAACAACAACAUUAAAGCCUUUCAAUUCCAAAUAUACUAUAACAAGCUAGAGUUGAAACUUAAUAGGAGCCACUAGGCAUGUACAUAGCGGUUUUCCAUACACUAGCAUUCAAGUAAAUUCUUGUAUAUUCCAUCCUUUCAAGUUUAUUGUUUUUAUCUCAUCCUCACGUCAAUUUCAGCCUUGCUAUGCCUCUCCUCACAUUAUUAUCGUAUCUUAGGAUUCCACUAUGCACUUGUGCCUCUUGAGGCCUCUGUUAAACAUAUUCAAACCAUGUUGACUUUUCUUCAAUUGGUGCUACCCCUAACCUAUCACGUAUAUCAUCAUUCCAGAUUUGGUCCCUAAUUGUAUGAUAAUAAAUCCAAUGCAACAAUCAUGCUUAAUAAAUUUUGAAAAUUGCACAUUCAAAUUCUCUUGCACCUAUCGUUGCAUAGGUCAAAGUACACCUAUAUACAUUGAUGAUUGCACGUGACAAUCUUCAACCAACUUGGAUCUCAGUUACUAUUUAAAAUACACCUCCCUAUAUGCUUAAGUGAUCACAUCCGGGUAAAGUAUAUGACAAGCAUAAUAAGUAAUCAAGAUUGGAAUGGGCAUAGUUUGUAUCCCAUAGGUUAUAAUCCUGUGAGGAUAGCUAAAAUAGUUUAAUACAUCAUAUAUGGUUUACUUAUGGAGUUGGAGCGAAAACAGAGUUUGCUUGUUAAUUAUUUGAAUUAAACCUCAAGCAUUUAUAGGUGGCACUGAACUGUCUCACAAAAAAAAUCAUAUUGAACCAUAACAAGUAGCUUUGUUUGAAAUUGUAUCAUUCAUCGACAACACUUGAAAGCUCCGAUAAACAAAAAAAAGGUUGGACGACACGUCCCAAUUAGGGUUGAGAAACUUCACUUUUUUCUAGUAUUUGGAGAUUCUUAAACAGGAGGGGGCUCCCCAGCAUCCACCCUAGUGCCUUCGUGAGCGGGCCUUGCCAUGUACACAACAUGCCUUGCUUGCGUUACUGAAUCCGGGUCGUGGCUAUGGCUCCUCUUCUCAACUCACCAAUCACCAUGCAUACAUAUCUUGUCGCACUCGGUAAGCGGUGAUCCACGCAAUUAUAAUGCUAGAAUUUGUUGGUGUAGUAAUUUACUAAUACAAAUUGCUAUUCUCUCCGAGUGCAGCUUGUUUAGUUUUAUCUGAAGUCAAAUUUUUUUAUUUUUAAUCGAAUUUAUAAGAACAUGUAAGUACCUUUCGUAACAAAUAAAUAUACUAUCAUAAUAUAUUUUAUGGUAUAUUUAAUAACCAAAAUAAAUUGUGUAUUGUAGAUGUUGCAUUUUUCUACGAAUAUGGUAAAAAAAAUAAAUAAGUUUGAAUCAGACCAAAACGAAAAAUAGGCUGCUAAUGGUCCAGCAACCGAACCAAAGCUACCCCACACCGUAACAUUAUUACAUGUCCUGCCAAUCCAUCCCAGCCCAGUUUGUCAUCAGCAUGUCAUCAGCAGGAACCGAGCCAAACCUACUCCUUCCAUCCCAAAUUAUAGAUUAUUUUGACUCUUCUAGAUUUAUAAUUUUUACAAUUUCAUAUAAUGGAGAAUGGAGGUUGUAUGAAAGCACAAUAAAGUAAUAGCCUAUACUCACAGUUACCCAAAAGGCCUAUGCGUUUUUUAAGAGGCCCAAAAGAGCCCAUGUAUGACGUCGAGCCCCAAAUCAAACAAGCAGCCGGCAGUCCUCCUGCUGCUACCUCUUCCACUCUUCGUGACGCCACCCCCGGCCCCCAGGUGGUGGGCCGGCCGUCGCCAUCCCAGCCCCUUCGCGGAUUGCCUCGCCUUGCAGGUGCACCAGCCCCUCCUCUUUCUCCCCGUCUCCCGCUUUUCCUGCGCGCCGUCAAGCUUGCCAUGGCUGGCAUGGGGAAACUAAAAUCGAGCGGAGGAGGCAAAAUCUACCGUGGAAUUGAAGCUUUCUUGUCGCCUGAAAGGCUGCAAGCAUGGGAAUUAGGCGAUGACCCCUGGCGUCCAGUUCCGGCCGCCCUAGACGCCUACUAGGCGACGCUGUGACAACUAUGUCCUUGCAUUGCCAAUCAUAUGGACUCAACCUCGGCGGCGUGUCACAGGCUCGCCAUUGAUCAUGCAGGGUUCUGGGAUUCAGGCCAAAUGGAUCGAAAUUCAGUGAAAUUCGUCUAUUUCGAUCCGACCCGAGACAAAACCAAACCGGUCAAAAAAAAUUCGGCCCCAUUUGAAUUUUUGAUCUAACCCAACGUCGAAAGCAGCCCACAAACACCUCCCAUGGGUAUAAAAGCACAAGCCUAUCCUGAAAACCCUAGAAAUUUUAUUUUUCUCUCUUCUCUCCUCCCUGCUGGCGGCGGCUGCUGUUCAAGCCAUGGCCAACAGCAGGCACAGGCUUCGAUCUCCCCCAUCAGCCUCCUCUCAGUCCGCUCCUCUUCUUGUCUGAUUCCGGCAUCACCACCUCCGCUUGUUCCCCUCCGUUUCCUGUCCAAUCUUUGGUUGUUGGAUGGCUCGAUCUGUUGCUGCUAGUGGUAGCUCCUGUGUUGGUGAUGAUGACAGGUCAAGAGCUUCAGCACAACAGCCGGCACCAGUGAUCUUUUUCUUCGUUGAUUGGUUGCAAGUACUUUUAGCUAGGUUCAAUGCUUCAUUUUUUUUUAAACGAGCUAGCAGGAGAGUUGUUGCUAUAUUCAUAAAGAGGGAAGGUCCGACGGGCCAAAAAUAAACGUACUAUACAAGCUGUACACUCUCAUCCCCAGGAAUAGGGAGGCAAAACUCCACUAUGACCACUACAAAAAUACAGACGCAAAAACUAAGAGGAACUCCUGCAAGUGUUUAGCUCCCGCGGCAACCCACAUUGCGGAUUGGUCUUUGAUGUCAUCAGUCAUCUGAGUAAGUGUCUUGUCCUUGUGUUGGAAAACCCUCCGAUUCCUCUCUAGCCAAAUCUCCCAAAGGACGAGAAUAAUCAAUGUACGCAACCCUUUCCCACCGGCCACUGGUCGAGCCAGCAUAGUUGUCCACCAGUUAUGUACGGAGUCGUGCCUGUCCCAUAGGCUUGGGUCAAUGUUGGAGCAAUGUGUCCAUGUAAUCAAUGCAGCCCAUAUUGCUCAUGUAAAGCUGCAGUCGGCGAAAAGGUGAUAUUCGGUCUCCUGCGCCGUGUUACAAAGAGUACAACUUGGGUUACUAGUCCAUCCCCGAUGUUGGAGUCUGUCCGUUGUCCAUAUUCUAUCUUGUAUCGCCAACCAGCUGAAGAAUUUGCACUUCGGCGGUGCCCAUGCUUUCCAAAUUAGGUUCUCUAAAUUAGUUGUCAUGGAUCCUAUGAAUUGUGCUCUGUAGGUCGAUUGCGAACUGUAUUUCCCGUUUGGCGUGAACUUCCAUGUGAUAGUGUCCGGAAUAUCCGGUGUAAGCUGCAGGCGGCUGGUCUCGACCCAUAGUCGAUAGUACUCAAUAAAAUAUGUCACGGUAAAACCUUGAUGUAGAAGAUUUAAGUCUCUUAUCCAUGCGUGAUUUGUCACUGCAUCAUAUAACGUCAUGUUCUUUCUUCUGGAAAUAUGAUACAGGUUCAGCGCAAUGUCCCUUGGCCUUUGUCCGCUUACCCAGCCGCUAUCCCAGAAGGAUAUAUUGCCAUCUCCCACUGUAAUUGUGGUUGCCGCCGCAAAGAGUUUGCGGUCCACUUGAGAGCAAGGGAUGUCCUGGCCCUCCCAGGAAGGCCCUUCGUUCAUCCAGUCCUGCCAAAGCCACCGUAGCCGUAGGGCCCUAGAGAAUUUUCCAAGGUGUAACACUCCUAGUCCGCCUCCCUUCUUGGGCCUUGCUGAUCGCGUCCAAUUUACUUUGCAUUUGCCGCCUGUGAUCAGUUCCGUCCCUGCUCAUAGAAAUUUCCUCCCUUUAGCAUCAAUAAUCUUCAUUGUUUCUUUGGGUACUUUGAGGGCCGACAGCAAGUAAACGGGUUGAGCAGUUAGGACCGAUUUAACCAAUGUGAGCCUCCCAGCUAUCGUCAAAUUCCUUUCGCUCCAACUAUUUAGUUUGGCCGCAACCUUAUCUAGCAAGGGUUGGAAAUCCACCGCUUUUAGUCGCACUGUGGAUAGUGGUAGCCCUAGGUACUUGAUUGGGAAGGCGCCCCUCCUUGCCGGUAGGUUUUCGAGAAUCUCACUCAAUUGCACACCUUCACAACAGAUGGGGAUGGCAGUUGAUUUUCGAAAAUUUGUUUUGAGUCCCGUUGCUUCUCCGAAGUUUUCCAGGAUGUUAACUAGCGCAUCGAUUUCCUCUUUUCUUGGCGCUAUAAAUAGUGUUGCAUCGUCCGCAUACAUUGAGAUACAACAUGAGGGUGCCCUUCCACGCAGUUUGGUAAGGAUAUUCAUGUCAGUUGCCAAUUGCAGAAUUCUUUGUAGCAGAUCUAUCGCUAUAACGAAGAGCAACGGUGCUAAUGGGUCGCCUUGUCGCAAGCCUCGGUCGUGUUUUAUUGGUGGGUUUGGGAUGCCAUUUAGGAAGACGCGUGCGGAUAAAGUGGACAGAAUGGCCGCAAUCCAAUCACACCAGUGGUUGGGGAAUCCCAAGUUGCACAGGAGCAAUAGUAAAUAGUCCCAUCGGAUGGAGUCAAAGGCUUUGGCGAUGUCCAAUUUGAGGAAGACGGCCUGCACUUUGUUUCUACGAUAUCUUCUGACCUGCUUCGCACUGUCAUAAAGUUGUCAUGAAUACUCCGCGUCUUGAUGAACGCACUUUGGCAUUUAGAGAUGAUUGUGUUCAUGUGCAGUUGUAAUCUAAGAGCCAUAGCCUUCGUUAUGAUCUUGAUAAACGAGUGGAUGAGGCUUAUUGGUCUGAAGUCCUGUACGGUGCUCGCCCCCUCUUUCUUUGGGAUGAGGAUUAUGUUAGCUGUCUUAAUUAGCUGGAGGCUGUUGCACCUUAGACCGUAGAACGCGUUUACUGUUGCCAUUACAUCAUGUCUUAUGGUGUCCCAGCAUGAUUUUAGGAAUAGACCCGUAAAUCCGUCUAAGCCUGGGGCUUUAUUGUUUGGCAUGCUAUGAAUGGCUUACUUGAUUUCUUCUUCGGAGAACGGCGAGUCCAAUGAUGACAGAUCAUGCUGAUUUAGGUGAAGGAGGUCCCAAUUGAGGUCCACGGCACGUGGCUGGGGCUCCUGCAGGGCUGCUGUAAAAAAAACUUUGAAUAUCAGCCACUUUUUCUUUGUGUGUGCACGCCCAACCAUUGUCUCUUUUAAUCUUCUGGAUGUAAUUUUUCCACCUCCUAGAGUUGACUCGUCGGUGAAAGAAACGUGUAUUAGCAUCUCCGAGCUUAAGGUUGGAAAUUCUGCUUGCUUGAUUCUUACGCACCCGCUCAAUUACCGCUAGCCCCAUGGCCCUUAGCUUUAGGCGGCUCCGCAGGACCUGCUCGGCCUCUAUAAGUUGUCAUUGUUGUGCUAUGUCGAAUCUUAGAAUCACAUCCAAGGCCAUAUGCAUCUGCAUUCUCGCAUCUGGUAUGAGGUGGCCACUCCACUCUCUUAGUGCAACAUCUAUGGCGUGUGGCUUGUGAUAAAGUCUGUGAAAAGGUUCGUGAUGCGGAGAGUGCGUGUUCCACGCUUGUGCUACAAUUUCCUUAAACCCCGGUAGCAUGGUCCAGAAAUUCUCAAACUUGAAGGAUUUUGGUCGUCUGAGGCCCCUCUUGUUGGAGAGCAAGAUAGGACAAUGGUCGGAUAGGAAAGUUGAUGGGGCAUGUAGAACGUGUGUGCAGAAAGCAUUUUCCCAUUCCGCAUUUGUGAAAACUCUGUCAAGUCUAACAAGUGUUGGUUUUGUCUCUCAUUGCUCCAAGUGAAUUUCCUAUUUUGGAGGUGGACCUCUCGUAGAUCAGAGUCAUCAAGAAUUUCCUAUUUUGGAGGUGGACCUCUCGUAGACCAGAGUCAUCAAGUGCCUGUUUGAAUAGGUUCAUAAGCCUCAAGUUCAGCCUGUUAUUGUUUUUGUCGCUCGCUUUGUACAUGAGGUUAAAAUCGCCAAGGACUAACCAUUGAGAGCCAGGCGGGGGCUCCUGCACUUGUAUUUUUACUAGGAAUUGUGGUUUGUCAUUAGAUCGUGUUGGGCCGUAUACAACGGAGAGCGUGAAGGAAUUUUCCGUUUCAUGCAAUGCUACUGUUGUUGUUAUAUGAUACUCCCUCCGUUCCAAAUUAUAAGUCAUUCCAACUUUCUUGGAGAGUCAAAGCAUCUCAAGUUUGAUCAAAUUUAUACAAUAAAGUGCUAACAUUCAUGAUAUCAAAUAGGUACCAUUGGUUUCUUCAUUAAAUAUAUUUUCAUAGUAUAUCUAUUCGGUGCCAUAAACUUUUGUAAUUUUCUCUAUAAUUUUGGUCAAACAUAAAAAUGUUUGACUCUCCAAGAAAGUUGGAAUGACUUAUAAUUUGGAACGGAGGGAGUAAGUUCCUAGCACUAUGUCUGUGAGCGUGACGUGAGAGUUGUUCCAUAACAGAAGGAUGUCGCCUCUGGUUCCAUUAGGCCCCCCAGCCGACUUAUACGAGUAGCUGUCAAGCCGGGAGCCUCCUAAGUAACUGGCCGUGUAGCUGUCAAUAUCGCUUAACUUUGUUUCUUGAAGGCACACAAUGUGACAAAGGGCGGUGGAAAUGGUCUCUCAUACUGUAUCUCUUCUCACUCUUUGAUUUAAGCCUCUCACGUUCCAGCACAGGACUUCAAGAUUCAUGCGAGGUUUGUGAAACAAUUGCUGCAGGGUGGCUUGCAACGCCAGUGGAGCAGGUAGCCCCACGCAGAUAAGAAAUGAGACACACAGGCAAUCCAUUCUUGAUCAAAACACGAAGGGGUCGAGUUGCAGGCAUAAGUGGAGCACCAUAGCAUUGUUCUGGUACUAAGGUUACAUUCCAACUGAAAAGAAGCAUAAUAAAAGCGACGACUGAGGCGCAUAGUGUAGCAAUUACAGACAUUGUAGUUAACAUAGUAAAUUGCAGGACACUGGGUGGUUGCUGCACUUGGAUCAGAAGAUCGCCUGAGGAGAUGCUGCUGCUGCAGCGAUGGUUCCUUCCUGGAUAUUGUUGGCGACUUCCCCUGGUCCUGCCUGGGCUAUUUCACCUUGGAUGUCUUCAAUGGCGUCGCCUGCCACUCGGGCCAUUGCAUCGUCCAGCUCUUGAGCAGCAGAGUCAUCAAGGUUGAAUGUUGCCGUCAACGCCGCAAUGACGUCUUGAGGCACCGGACCCUAGAACAUGGCUAAGUAAUCCUACAAAGUAGCCUCGAUGGGCUGGAAUUCAUCAGUGAGUAGACCCAAUUUGCAACAUAGAUUAUGCUGCGCUCUUUGAAUCGCCGGCAUAGGCCUACGAUUGGAUAGUCUUGCACUGCGGCGUACCGUCGACAUGUCGAAAACGCGUCUUGGGCCGCAGGAUUUCGACGCCUUGUCUUGCUGCUGCUGGGUCUGGUCCUCCAAGCGUGACUCCGUUGGCAAGGGCUGAAGCAGCUGUGCCAACCUGGUGAAGAAGGCACUGGCUGCAGAAGUUGCCAUGGGUGUGCUGUUGACAUUCCUGGCGCUUUUUUCCGCUCCACUAGUGGUCUGCACCUGCUCAACAUGGGGAGGGUUAGGGGGCAAGGAUCCCUGUCAAACAGAGAUGUCAGCGGUAGAUCCUGGCUGAGGCUUUGUAGGUGCACCUGAAGGUUGUGCAGCACUGCCUCAACAGCCUAGACCGAGACUGGUUUAGAAGCAGCAUCAUGCAAUCCAUUCGCGCCAUCUAUGUUGUCGGGGGGAAAAGCGGCAUCUGUUCAUGAAAAGGAGAGUUAGAGGUGGUGUGGCGGCUGGGUGAGUUGUAAUCAGCAACUACAGCCGGAGACGGGGGCGAAGGCUCCUGAUUGCAGCCGAGAGUAUGCGCCUGUAUCGUAGUUUGGCCCUCCAUGGCUGAGGUGUGGUCAGGUACUGCCAGGUCCUCCUUGAAGCGAUUGAACACAUGUGAAACCUUCAUCAUCAGCGGACUCAUGUUGUCUUAGCACCGCUCCCCGAACCAGGCUUCAUCCCCUUCGUGUGGAAGGUGGAGAGCAUCGGCCAAGGCGGCCGCUUUGCUGAUGUAAUCGUACAUGCUGGGUAGCUGGGCUGUGUCGUCGUUGAUCUUCCCGGCAUUCCUGCACAGAUAAUUUGUGGCUGCCUCCUUCAAAUUGGAUGCACGGUUAGUGAACAGAAAUUGGAGUUCAGUUGCUCACGCAUCGCGGAGGGGGCCAAACAGAGAGAGCUGCUGGGGCCUGGAGGUGCCGCUGGAGAUGUACUGGUGCCGCCGUGCUCCCGCCACCCCAAGUCUAGCGCCUGGGCUGUAACAACUCUACCUUAAUUAGGUGUAGUUAAACUUAAGAAAGUCAUUAGCCACUAAGUAGAGGAGGUGAAAGGUCCAAAUUGCCCCUAAAAAGUUCCUUUUGGAGUUAAAUAGAAAACUUGAGUUUCUAUAUACCAACUUAAAUCUAUGUCCAAAUAAGAGUUGUAAAACUUUUAAUUUCAAACAAAUUUUAUUAAUAACACUUUGGCUAAUUUGGAGUGGGAGAAGGUCAAAAACAAGAAUCAAAUCAGGAGUACAUCAAAAUCCUGCAAAUGACCAAGUCCUAGAAUUCAUGUUUUUCCUCAACUUUGCAACCUGUUAUCUCACCAUUCUAUAUCUAACCUCAAGUCAGACCUUUAAUAGAAGUUCUAGUUCCUUGAGUGUGUUACAACUUUAUUACACUUACCCAGGUCCAAAUCACAACCAAACCUGCUCAAAAACUUGGUCAAAACCGUGUAAAACAGUCAACUCAGCCUCUUUGCAUCCCAGCGCUGUCUGAAAAACAUCCAGAGCACGUAUCUUGGCAAGCCCGUUCCUCCUAAAAGCUGAACUGAACUCGAGAAAAGUCCCUAAUAGAAAUUGGAGUCCUAAGAUCGAAGAACAUUUCUUUCAAUUACAUCUUGGCCUGAUUCAAAUGGGAAGGUACUCAAAAUCUGAGCCAAAGUCGGCCAAAAUGCUGAAAACAGCAAAACCAAGAUAUCUGUCUAAGUCCCUGGAGGCCGGCGUUCUGCCGAACUUUGCAACUCCGUAGUUUCAAAUCUAUUUCGAUUUUAAGAAAACUCCUUUUUUAAGUUUGGAGCUGGAUGUUAGGUCUACAUGUUUUACUUUUGGAGUUUCACGAGUUCUUUUGAAAAGUUUGGAGAAAAACACCUCCAAAACCGGCCCUUUCAGACUGCCCUGAGGCGCACCUCGCCCAGCGCGCGCCCGGCAUGUUCGCCCGAGCGCCGCCCGCCGCGUGGCUCUCGCCCACUGGGGAGCUCGCCGACAGCCAACCGACGGCCACGAUGGAACAACUCGCUCGCUGGGACGCCCAAUGACCGUGCGACCCUAUCCUUCCUCUGCCUGAGCAUCUCCCUCGCCCAAUGCCGCGCCGCACCUCUGCCGCUCCCCUCCGCCACGCCAUGGCUUCUCGAUGGCCGAGCUCCGCCUCCCCAAUCCGCCGCUCGACGGUGACAGGACGACCCCCCGGCUUGCUCAAUCGCUCCGCCAGACAAAGAAGAUCUCGCACACCUCCUAUCUCUCCCGUCCAAUCAUCGGAAGAUCUUCGCAUACGCCCGCGCCAUCCCUCCGCCAGUGAGUGCCGCCGGCCAAUAGCGCCACCCUGUUCUCCUCCCCCACUCGCCUCCGGCCACGUCCGCCGCCAGCAUUGGCUCCGCCCUCGUCCUCCGCACCUCCUCGGCCCUAUAAAAGGAGUCGAUGCACCGCCUGCGCAGCUCCCCACACCCGCAAAGCUCCACCGCCUCCUCUUCUUUAAGCACCACCGCAUCACCCUCCCGUGGAGCCCUUGUCUCCACCGCUCCACGCGCCUCACCACCUCAACCGCCAGCUCUGCUAUCACCCCACGCUGCUACCCGAGUAGCUUGUUUCCCUCCCGGAGCCCCGCUGUCGUCGCAACUCCGUCGGGACUCCGCCGCCGAAGCCACCUCCCGUCACCAAGCUAUUCUACCGCCGCUGAGCCCGCUCCGAUGCCCCAAUCGCCACCAAUCCCUCCCCGGUGAGCUCCCGCGUCUCCCCCGCCUAUUCUUGCCCUCGAUUGACCCCAAGAUUCGCCGGAAUCGAGUCGAGCUCGCCGCCAGCCGCCGCAAGGGCCUCCCUGUGUUUUUUACCUUUUUCCAGGGACCUUAGUGCAAGAACUAAGGACCCCUGCGUGAAUAAACCAUAGAGACGAGGGUUAGAUUGUAAGUUGUUUUCGGUUUAUUGUUUUAAAUCGGUAGAAAAUAGGAUAAACUUUGUAAAUGCACCACAAAUCAUAGAAAAAUCAGAAAAAUGUCAAACCACUUUUGUUGGACUCAGUGAACUGUCUAGUUUCUUAUAAAAAUAAUCUUUCCCAUGUUACUAUUGUAAAUAAUACCCUAUAGUUUUAUUUCUUGCUUAGGCCUUUCAAAUCAUAGUAAAUCAAAGAAAAAUGCUAAAAAGGUAAAUCCAAUUCUGAGGCCUAUGUUUCAGUGAGUAGAAGCUCAGAAAAAUACUUAGGGCCCUAGAGUAGAACUUUAAAUUACUGUUUUAACCUUAUAUUUGAAAUCUAGGGUUAAAUCUUUCUUUUUGCAUAAGUUUUAAUCCAGAGCUGAGAAAAAUAUGCAACCACUUAGAGUAGCUUAGUUUUGGAGUUUAGUUCACAGGGAAAAUAUGAAACCUUGGUUGAAACUUGAUGAAACCCACCUUCCUUUUUAGAGCAAGAUAAAUAGGAGUAAAAUAUGGGAAAUAGAUGUCCUUCUCUAAAAAUCAUGAAAAUUCACCAAUCUCUCUGUAACACACUUUCAAUCCACUGUUAAAGUUUCACCCUCACAAUCACUGUAGGUUUUGAGAUUAAGGGCUUGUUUGGUACGGCUCCACUCCACAACUCCAACAACUCCAGCGAAAAAACCAGCCAAACACCCCAGCUCCAAAACUCUAUGGAGCUGCCAACUCCGUGGAGCUGUAGUACAAAUGGGGGUGGAGUUUUGGAGCACCUCUUUUGCUGCUCCAAAACCCCAUCUUUUUAACCUCCUCGUGGAGUUGACGGGUAAUUACCUACCAUGCCAGUAGUUACACAAGAAAACACUUCGCUUCUAUUCCUCCGAGAGCCCCCGCGCCUCAUCCCAAUCCCGUGCGCUGUUCCCCUGCGCCUCGUCCCGAGCCCAGCCGCCGGCCUCCCCCGCCGCCGGCCGCCGAGCCCCGCUGCAGGCUGCCCGAGGCCCGCCGCCGGCCGCCCCAGCCUCCCCCACCGCUGGCUGCCCGGGGCCCACUGCCGUCACCGGGCACAUCUCCCUCCCGACGGCUCCAUGCACCAUUCCGUGAGCGCCAGGUUACUCUCCAGCUCAUCCAGCACCGCGUGGCUGCCGACAUCCGUGGAUGUAGAAGUUCUCGAAUGCCAGCUUGAAGUCCGAGAUGUACGGCUUCACCUUCUUCAUCUUGAGCAGCUUCCUCGCGGCUAGCGUCGCCACGAAGAGGAGCUGCUCCGACACUGGCAGCACCAGCGGACCCAGCAUGGUGAUGUUGGUCUUGAGCGCAUUGCCGGCCACCUCCAUCAGGUCCCUCGACAGCAACACGCCCAGGUUCCCCUCGCCGUUAGAGACAUCCAUUACAUGGAAGUGCUGGAAGUCCUCUUGUUCAUGUUUUUCUUUUCUGGUUAAUUUAUUCCAGAAUGUAUGAGUUGGAAUUUGGAGCAGAAAUCUUUCUUGCUUCUUGAUGUACUAGCCUGAUGAUUCAUCAGUUAGGUUCUGCAGAUCGGUAUUGUUAUUCAGGGACGCUGAUAACUCACUUUUAGUGGUGCAGACAUCUGUAUAUGCAAAUGGAUAAUGCCAGCAAGUUGGAUCAUCUUUGCUCGCAGUCGCCGAGAUCAAGUUUUGUUGCUGUUGCCUGCUGAGACUAGAAAAUUUGCUCCUCCUCCUGCCCAGCAGAGAAGGUCGUAGCAUCACUCAAUUCAUUCUGUGGAUUAACCUCUUCACUUCAGGUGGCGGUUUAAUUGUUUAGACCUUUCAGUCUUUCAUGUGCACCUGACUCUGAAAGUAGGCUGCCAGCGUGUGUAAAGCUUUUGACAUUUUGUAGGAAUCCUUCCUCUUUCACGGGAGUAUGUAGCCCGCGGAAAAACGCAAGGUAAAACACGCAGGAAUUAUAGCGUAUGAGGCUCGGAAACAUCUUUUUUUCAUGCACAGUGACGGCGUCGGGUCGAAGAGGCUGCAGUUGACGACACCUCUACUACGUACCUGAGGAUGAAAAGAGCAGGAUAGGAGAAUGACAGGUGGGACCAUGAGUUGGGGGUAAGAAUGGCAAUUCACCUCUGAACUCCUCUUUUCUAGAGCUGGGACACCCUCCUAGCCAAACACCUCCACCAGACAGCUCUAGCUCCACCUAGAGCUGGCUCCACCUGGAGUUCUGGAGUGGAGCAGCUCCACCCAGAGUUGGAGCCAUGCCAAACAGGGCCUAAAAUGAUUAAGUGCAUGCUACCCUUGGUAAUAAAAUAAUUUUAAUUCUUUUUGUGCUAACCCAAUGGAUCCCAAAUUUUUACAGUAACUCAUUGAUGACAUAGGUAAGGUGCUGUAAAUUUCUCAAUGUCAUAUGUUGCUAUUUGCUUGUGGAACCAAAUUUUGGAUGAGGAAUCGGUUUAAGUGAAUAAAGAAAUGUAAGUCCGAAUAAACUUAAUGGGUAAUUUUUGGAAGAAGUACAAAAAAACAUUCAGAAAUAAUGACUCUCCAAAUGAACCCCAAACUAUCCUAAAAGCGACCCCACCUUCCUUGUGAAACUCUAAGUUGUAGGAAUCUUAAGACUCUAGGUGCUUUUGGUAAAAAAAACCACAGCCAAAAAGUCUUGCAUGACUAGGAGUCGGUGAAGUAGUUAUCACCUGUCGGGUUAGUCUUGCUGAGUACUAGUUGUUCAGUCUUGCUUGUGGCUAUGUUUUCAGGUAGUGCUGAGUAUGAGGAAAUGGUUGCCAUCUUGACUUGGCCGACCCAACUCCCUCCGGGUUGCUCAGUCGAGUGGAAACUAGCCUCAGACAGCAUGGAUCGUUGAAAUGGAUAUCAUGGUCGGCUUCGCCCUGGUAUUUUGUAUCGUCGUGUAGCUUCCGCUGUUUUACUUCUUCAUUGUUUACAACCUUGCAAACUUUGUUUGGAUUUCGAAAAAUCUGAUGUAAUAAAGUGUUGAACUAUGUUAAUGUGAUGGGAAUGUUGUAAUCUCUGUGCCACUCACCUUCGCGUGAGCAAUGCUUCUCGAUCCUGAGUAAGUGGUUUAUCGGAUGAAAUCCGAUGGACGACCAAGUUGAUUUGGUUAAAGUGCAUGAUCACAUGUUAGGCGACUUAAGUACAUUUUAUUCAGGUUAAUUUGGGCAGUUCCGCCACAUGGGCAAGCGAUCACGUUCGCGGCUAGCUUCUCCGGAUGUGCCCUUGUGUGCGUCGUGGGCACGUCGGGCACGAUCACCUCGCCCGUGGUGAUCACGGUCGUCGUCAUCGUCGUCGCUUCGCCGGCGCCAGACAUUCCACUUGCUGGCGGGAUGGUCGUUGUUGUAGCUUUGCCGCUGACGGUCCUCCUUGUCGUCACGCCGGUCGCUCUCCCCCGUGGUGCUGCUCCGACCAUGGCGAGAAUGGUCAGAGCGUGGGGGUGAACGCGGGCGCACCUCACGUUCCACCACCCAGCGAGACCUCAUCUCCCCAUUGAUGCACCCAAGGUGCCAGGGAGAAAGCCGGCGGAUGGACGCCGUGUAGGUCGUCCUAUCAUCGAGGCUGACAGAUGCAAGGGUGUAGUCCUGGACACCGCGUUGUCACUGUCCGAGAGAAGACUUCAACACCCAAACCUGUAGCCUUCCCCUUCUGGAGUGCUUCGGUGCAGUGCUUACUGUACUUGAACUUGAUAAAAAAAAGCCUCAGGAAAGUGGCGUGAAACUGUCACCUCACCAUGGUGCAACCUGAAGUCCUCCCUGAUGGCGCGCUCGACGUCGUGUGGGUCGAUCAGUUCCUAGCCUCGCAGUGCUCAGGUGACCGCCGCUAUCAUCUCCUACUCUCGCAAGUCAGUGUCAAUGUCGCCAGUUGCUUGAACGAGACAAUCCACCUGGUUCGGCCUGGUCGUGGGGUCGUCGAGCCAUGACAUGAUCGUCGAAGGUGCAGGCUUCGGUGGUGGGGGCAGGUGCUGGCGAGGUGGCGACCGAGCCUGGCGAGGUGGCGUCUGCUGUUGGGGUGGAGAUGAAGCUUGGGAUGGGGACAACUGCUGGCGAGGUGCGGAUUGAGGGGGCGGCUGCUAGCGCGGUGGAGACGGAGCUUGGCGAAGAGGUGGCUUCUGACGAGGAGAAGACUGUGCUUGAUGAAGAGGCGAUUGGUGAUGGGAUGGAGACAGAGCGCAGCAACGAGGAGGCGUGCGUCGGUCCUGCUACCCGGCAUACACUGCGCGACGGCGAGGGCGAUGUGCCGACGGGCUCCUGUUGCUGCGACGGUUGGUGGAGCAGAACUUGGCGCGGUGGUCGGAGCGAAGACAGAGGAUGCACCAGACGGGGUCGCGGUAGGACGAGGCACGGUGGUCCGGGGUCAAGCAGACGAAGCAACGCCUAUUUGUUUUGGCCUGGAAUGCUUGCAGGGUUGGGGAAGGUUGGAGCUAGGGGAGCCUUGCAGGGGAGAAGGUCGGCGAGGCGGACUUGACAGGCGCCCUCUCCUCCACUAAUAUGGCUACCUGACCGGCGUCCAGCCAUCCUGAGGAGUGAUGAAGCCGUCCUUGCGCCGCGCGUCGAUCACCUCAGGCACGACUUCUGAGGCGACGGGGCGGGAGGUGGGUGGAGGAGGUGCGCGGCGGGAGUAACUACUCUAGACUGGCUCUUCUGUGCAGGCGGGGCGAUAGGUGGGUGGAGGAGACGCGCGGCCAGAGGCGGAGUUACUACAGUGGGUGGGUGCAGUAAAGACGGAGAGCGGAGCCUUCCCGGGUGAAGCCGAAACCGGCGCAUUACCGCCCCUGACAGCUUGCGCGUAGGAGAGAUUGGGUCGGGAGGAGCGUGUCUGCUGCGGAUUCGGCGAGCUCUGCACGGAGGAUCUUACCUGAGAUGCUUCUACGGCCCUGGAUUUCAAACUGGCGAAAGGGGGGAUCUGGGAGGAGCUGUAGCUACUGAAGUCUUUGGAGCUCCCUACAGACAUGGACGGGGGCUUGGCGCUGGCUGAGGAGCCGGCAGUGGGGACAACCAGGAGGCAGCGGAGGUUCUGGGUGCUGGGUGGAAGCGGCGUUGGGGCUUGGUUGUCAGCGGGGCGGGGCUCGCCGCCACCGGGAAGGGAGCGAGCUGGGAGAUGCACAUGCUUGGUUGAAGCUGCAUCAAUCAAUGCUUCAUUUCGUUUGCUAGUUAUUGCAAUAAUCUUUGUGAGUCACAAGGAUAGAUAAAUGUAUUUGAAAAUUCAGUCCGAUUCAGUCAAAUUUUGUUAAAACAUGAAUUUUUUACUAGUCAAUUCAACUGGAUCCCAACCCGAAAUUUUCCGAAUUUUCGAAUUUCAUCCAAUUUGGUUGGCACCGAAUUUUUUGAGCUUUUGAAUCCCAGAACCCUGUGAUCGUGACGGGCAGCCACAUGCUGCGCGAGUGCUCUGUAGGAUGGGUAAGCUACAUAGUAGUACUAUGUAUGAGACUAACUUGCUGCCUGCCCUUGCCAUUAUCGGUGUCAAAUUGUUGGUCGUUUUAACUUUUUUAAUUCAUAGAUAUUAUUAUGCAUCUAGAUAUAUUGUAUGUUUAGGUGUAUAAUAAUAUCUAUGAACCGAUCAAAAUGACCGAUAAUUUGGAAUGGAUGGAGUAGUAUUCUAGUCAGAGCCUAGCACUAGCAGAUCGAGUAGCAUUCGGGUUGGCUACCUCAGCAGGCGCGCGCCAAUGGAGCGUUCUCGUUUGGCGGCAAAUGGGCAUGUAGAGAUUUUGCAUCGAUUUGGUGCCAACAAGCAAAAGCACCACUCCGUAGAGACUUACGCAUUCGCAGCAUGCAAACGUGAACUAGGUAAUACGCGUCCACAGCGGGUUUGGUCAUUAUAUUGUUCUCGAAGAACCUGUCAAGUGUGCCCAAAACGUAUCAGAAAGAACUUCUUUUUGGAAUGAACGAGAAAGCCACUACUCCAACAGGUGCCAAAACUGGUUGCUAAAUUUUCCAAGUGCCCAAUCUCGGCGGCCUGAUGAGCCAAAUUUACGCCCCUCUGUCGCACUCCCAAUCCCGGAAAUUUGCAUCUGUGCGCCAGUUUUGCAGGUCCCGCCUCUAUCCAUCUUCCUCUCUCCUCUCGCAGGUGGCCAUGGCGUGCGCCCCGAUGCCUGGAGGAACGUGGAUCGGUGUGGUGGCAGUCAGCGCUGCUGCAGGUUAGAACCAGCACCCUCUAUUUUUCACUUCAUGUUGAUUUGCUCAAUGAAAUUUGCGCGGAAGAUUUCCUAUAUGCAAUGUCCAAAAUUAUUUUGUCAAAAUCUAUAUAUAAAGAUUAAAAAACUAUGAAUUUUUUGAAAGCGCUUGGAGGUCCAUGGAUACUAGAUGAUAAAACAACGCUUCGGGUCAGGGGAAGACCGUUCCAACUGUCAGGGCGUGGCUGAUUUUGAAGUUUUUUUUGAGAAAAUAGAGUCACUAUUGGAGAAGGUCAUGCUUUUUUUGCCCAAAAAUCUUUUUGGGCAGGUCCAAAAACCGGAUUAUUGGGAGUAGAUGCUCUUAGCAACCUGGGAACUGGGAUACAUGCUGAGUUCGCUUUUGGUACCCAGAGUUUAUGAGGUGUUUUCUUCCACUGACUUAUUUUUAGCACGUGUCACAUCGAAUGUUUAGAUACUAAUUAGGAGUAUUAAACGUAGAUUAUUUACAAAACCCAUUACAUAAGACGAAUCUAAACGGCGAGACGAAUCUAUUAAGUCUAAUUACGUCUAAUUAAUCCAUCAUUAGCAAAUGUUUACUGUAGCAACACAUUGUCAAAUCAUGGACUAAUUAAUAUGCAAUGUCCAAAAUUAUUUUGUCAAAAUCUAUAUAUAAAGAUUAAAAAACUAUGAAUUUUUUGAAAGCGCUUGGAGGUCCAUGGAUACUAGACGAUAAAACAACGCUUCGGGUCAGGGGAAGACCGUUCCAACUGUCAGGGCGUGGCUGAUUUUGAAGUUUUUUUUGAGAAAAUAGAGUCACUAUUGGAGAAGGUCAUGCUUUUUUUGCCCAAAAAUCUUUUUGGGCAGGUCCAAAAACCGGAUUAUUGGGAGUAGAUGCUCUUAGCAACCUGGGAACUGGGAUACAUGCUGAGUUCGCUUUUGGUACCCAGAGUUUAUGAGGUGUUUUCUUCCACUGACUUAUUUUUAGCACGUGUCACAUCGAAUGUUUAGAUACUAAUUAGGAGUAUUAAACGUAGACUAUUUACAAAACCCAUUACAUAAGACGAAUCUAAACGGCGAGACGAAUCUAUUAAGUCUAAUUACGCCUAAUUAAUCCAUCAUUAGUAAAUGUUUACUGUAGCAACACAUUGUCAAAUCAUGGACUAAUUAGGCUUAAUAGAUUCGUCUCGCCGUUUAGAUUCGUCUUAUGUAAUGGGUUUUGUAAAUAGUCUACGUUUAAUACUCCUAAUUAGUAUCUAAACAUUCGAUGUGACGGGUGCUAAAAAUAAGUUAGUGGAAGAAAACGGGGCCUAUAGUCCCUUCCUAACCGGAAGUAGCUAAUUUGCAACUUUAAAUUUUUGCAUCCAUGACUCUAUGUACAGUCGUACUAGAACGUAAGAUGCUAGCUGACAGUGGUACUUUUUUUUACUAAACUGACAGUAUUACAGAGACAACUAAAGUUGCUAGCAAAAAAAAAUGUUGUGCCAAAAGGGCCAAGAUAACAGAAGCGAAUGGGAUUAGUACGAGGUGGCAUGCUUCAUCACACAUGCUCCAUGAAAGGCUCGGCCCCAUGCCCCCAUGGUCCGGUUGCCCCCAGCGUUGGAACUCAUCACGCGAGAGCCGAGCGCGGGCUCGAUCACGCACGCACGUCUAUCGUUCAUGGAUCCCCCUCCCACCCAGAGUCCCAGUGUCUCUGUCGUGUACUUGUGGGUGACUGGUGGGCUGGUGGCACCUCCUGGCCCGCUGCUCCCUGCUCCUGUUCCGUUCAGCUGUUCUCUGUUUGGAGGCGAGGCAGAGCAGAGGCGAUAGGCUCGAACUCGAGAGUGGACGAAGAGAUCGUCGAUGGUUUUGCGUGGUGCCGGCCGGGGGCGGGUCCCCUCGCACGUCCUCGCGCCCUCCGUCCUGACACGCGCGCGUACCCGGGCUGUGCUGCAGCCUGCACCAAGCUCUCUGCAGCAGGCUGGUUCAGAAAAAAGAAAAAGACCGCCCGGGCGCAGGCUCUUUUGUCCCCUGGGCGGCACGCACGCCAACACGCACUGACGUCGUACAGGCACGGCGCACGCACCCGAUCGAUCGCCCGUCCAAACUCGCCGCCGUUCUCGACGUGCCGGCCCCGGCACCGUCUCGUCCGAUCCAGAGUCAAGAAGAGAACCUUCCCAAGAGCUCGUGCAUUGUUCGCUCGUGUGCUUUGUUUGCUUUGGUUCGCUAGAUCCGAAUUUUGACGCAACCGAUCAGCGCGGGCGAGGGAGCGGGAGCUGGCGUCCAUCAAGCGGUCACGCGGCGGUGGCGGUCCGAGUAAAGACGGCAGGGGUGGAUGCGGCGGCGGCGCGGCUCGGGGGCUCAGAGCGGCGGGCUGGCGUGGAGGUGCAUCGGCAAUUUCCGAGCGCGGACUUGGUGGUGUGGAGCGGUGGCAGCAAGCAAGCUAGGCGCGCAGCGGCAAGCGGUGGCGGCGGCGGCUCAGAGGCGGCAGAGAUGGUGGCAAGUCAUUAUCGCAAGAAGUUUUGUGUCUGCGCACAUGGUACUACUGAGAUUCCGACGGCGGCAAGGUGGAGGCGAUGUUAUUGGAGUAGCUCGGUGGCACCAUGUCAUCCUCGAUGGCAAAGCAAGUCCGAAUCCUUAGUGUGGAGUCCAGCGACGGAAGUGGCGAGGCUCCUAUUCGCUUUAAGGUGAUGUGUCCGAGGAGUAGUAUGCGGCGGUGGAUGUGGCGACGCCCCCACGGGUUUCGAGUUGCCUUGGAGGGUCAGGAUCCGGUGCGGUGUUUUGGUUGUUUGGUGUGCACGGUGCGGCAGCGGUGCUUCGGCGUUGGGUCCUGCAGAGCGAUGGCCUUUUCGGUGUGGUGCAGUGUGCUCCUCUCUUGACUUAUGCUGAUACAAAGACGUGAUUGGGAGAUCGACGACCGUGUGUGUGACCUGAGGCUGACGGCGGCAUGGUGGAGAAGCCCUGGUAGCUACACGGCUUGCAACGGACUGCGGCGGCCAGUUUUGCAUGGCAGCGACUGAUUCGGCAUGGGACAUCGUCGGAGACAACGGCGAUGGCGAUAGGGGCUACUUGUCGGCUUUUUCUACUGGGUGGUGGUGGUGCGGAGUGGUGGUCGUAGCAUUGUGUGGCUUGUGUCAAUGUCUUAAUCCGAUCAGCCGUCAAAUUUUUUUAAUUUUGAGUUAAAUUGAGUCGGCACUGGAACUACUUUUAUGACUUUGUUAUUAUUUUCAAUCUAAAAUCUCUUUUCUUUUUAAUAUAAUCGACAGUUGGUUUAAAAAAAAAGAUCAGCAGCUAGCCUCUCCGGCCGGACGAGGCGAACGGGGAGCCCCAACGGGCUGACGGUGACGGGCGGGCGGGCGCUGCCACGUGCCGCCGGGUCUGGAACAAGACGGCGGCGGCGAGCGUGUCGUACAAGACUAGUACAGCAAUUUGCUCGCCCGGUUCCUGUCUUGAUUGAUGCGAUCGCGAUCCCCCUCGAGUCCUCGACCCUGGCGCCCCGCCCGGCGGGUGCUGCCUCCUGGACGCACUGGCACGCACGCCGCGCCGCGCCAACGGCCGGGCGCACACACCCCCUGCCCUGGCCCGGCGUACUCUGCGCACCGGCACCGCUUGAUGAUGGCGACGGGCACCGCACAGCGCGAGUGGUAGCGCUAGCAGUAGGCUGCUUGCUAGCUACGGAGUAGUUACUAGGCUGGGUUAAAGCUAAGCUACAGCCUACUAUAGGGGGACCAAUUGGUGGCUGCCUGCUGGCCCCUGGACUGGAUUUUCCGGUUCACUCGAGCGCAAGUUGCACAGCGGUUACUCCUACUUCCACUCGACUGUUGUUGUCUAGCUGCUCACAUGACUUGGUCGGUGGGGCUCCAGGGCUCCUCCUCGUUUGUUUGGCCACGACCCUGUCCAGACUUGAGAACGUAAAAAUUUUCUGAUUUUGCAUCAUCAACAAAGCUAAAGCUAGUGCGGUGCAUCGUUACCCCGUGCUCGCUCUCGCCUCUCCCCUCGCAGGCGCAGCUGCCGGCGGUCGGGGCCGGUUCCGUGCUAUCCUCCGAAUCUGCAUCGCUCCGCCUCCGCAGCGCUGCCACCGCGCAGCCUUUCCCGUACGGCCAUACGUACGCCCCUCCGGCCCGCACAGGGCGCCGGUCGCCAAAACGACAAGACGCGGGGGGCAGCUGGCUGGGCACUGCUUCUGCUCCUGCUGGUUGCUGCCGAUCGAGCAGCCUUCGCGUUUCACCUACUACGGCUGUACGAUCGAGCUGAUCGCCGAGCCUUGGUGAUGAUUCGAGCGAGCGGCUGUGGCCGUGCCGCCGUGCGUGCCCGUGCAUGACGGAUAUCCACGAUCAGUUCCACCCGGAUCGGAGCCCUACCUCUCUUCUCUACCGCACGGACGUCCGCCCGGCGCCGCCCCGUCCGCCCCUGCCUGCUCAAUCCAUCUCGAACGAAUUUGUUUAUAUUCGUGCUAGGGGUGUUCUCGUUGUGUCACUUUUUUUGCCUUUUAAAGAGGCAUAAUUCAAGCGUGCGUGUCUUGCUUUUCCCUUUCUUAAUAACAAAAUUUAAAAAAAGGUUUGGUUUGUGUCUUGUAACAGGGCUACUAAUUUUCCGCUCCACCGAACAUAUAGCCACAUAUAUGAACGUAAAUAAACUUAGAUACAACAAGCUUGUGGAGCGCUCUGAUGAUCUUUAACCGGAAAACAUAUCAAGAACUUAUGGGCUUGCUUCUCAAUGGCUCCACAACAUCCUUAUCACCACCAUACAUUUCCCCACCUUCUCCUACGACCAUCACCACCAACACCUUUCUUUAUUUUCCACACUUUCACGAAUUAGGUUAUUUCUAUAAUGGCAAGAGUAAACUCGCCUGCGAUUGGAGUACGAUAUCGAUGACCAUACUACGCAUGGUUGUCACGCACAUCACUCUCUCGAGGCCACUUGCAGCAAGGAAAUGUAGGAGAACAGCGUGUCUUGACGUAGCUAUGGUGCAACUGCUAUAUAUAUGGAUGUCGUCCUCUCCCUUAUGUUAUGUUAUGAUGCUAACAAAGAUAAAUCGCUUUUCAAAGUAGCUAGUACAAAAAGGUGAGAGAAAAAAUAGCAUUCCUUUUUGGAAACUUGAAGAAAGGGUAAGAGGGGUCAAGGAGAAGGGCACAAGUGCUGUACCUAAAUACCAUCUUCGCCCUCUGCCCCAUCUCCUUGCUUUCCUUCUUUGAAGUUUGUGAGUGCCUCCAUAUUCUUACUUGUCUCACAGACAUAGGAAGGUAGGCAGGGCGCACGAGCCACAAAAUGCCCAUCAAUAGUUACUGAUAUAUACUUCUUCUGUUUCAAUUUGUAUAUUAUUUUGACUUUUCUAGGUUCAUAGACAGGGGCGACGCUAGAGCCCGGAGGAUUCGAGUGCACACUUGACACUUCAAUAUAUACAUGUAAUAAAAAUCUUGUCCAAUGUAUACAAAGUCAAAGGAAAUGCUUACCAAAAUAGAGAAUCUGGUACUCUUGAUAGUUAAUAUUAAUAAACACCAACAAAACAUUAUAUGGUAUGUAUACAAUUGGCAAAAUACACCAUUAAGUUGACUCCUUGAUGAGACAAUGACUAAAAAAGUGUUAAUUAGAUGAUCCAAUAUUAUAAGAAAAAAUUCGAUUCACCAAUUGGAAAAUGGUAAGAAAUCAAUUGAUUACCUCUAAGUAUUUUUGAUUUCCACCUUUCCUGAAGCGAUCCACUAUAACAUCAUUUGUAACUUUCAACAUUUUUUUCUUUCUCCACAUAGCAAAUGAGACUAUGAAUCAUGUACUCAUCACCCAUACGAUUGCGCAAUUGUGUUUUCAUAAUUUUCAUGGCUAAAAAUAUCCUCUCAACUAUAGCUGGGGCGACAGGCAAUACAAGUACUAACUUCAAAAGCCGAUACACCAAACGAUUGGUAAGAUGUAUCCUUAUUUGUACCAUUUUUCAGAAAAGCUCAACAAUUGUAUGUAUGUUGGCAAAUCUAUCAUCUUGACGCACAUCAUCAAUAUAAAGGAAAAGCUCAGCAUUAAGAUCCCUCAACUCCACAUGAUCAAAACCAGCAGGAUAUAAUUUAGCUAGGCUUAUCAAACUGUCCACAUUAAAAUCAUGAAAUGAAUCUCUUGGGUUAAAUGCAACUGAACAUUCAAUAAGGUAGAAAUCUUGUUAAAAAAUUCAGCAAUGCAUGUAUGCUUUCUAGCAACAGCUACAACCACUAGUUGAAGUUGAUGGUUUAAGCAAUGGACAUAAUAUGCACUACUAUUUUCUCUCAUGAUCAAAGAUUUUAACAAAAAAUAGGAGUUGACGAUGAUCGCUCGAGGCCUUGGGCACUGAUUCCGGCGAGGAGGAGUACCGCAGCGACCGGCGAUGGCGCGAGCCCCGCCUCCCUCUCUUUCACCUUUCUGCGAUUCCGGGGCCUGGACGAUGCGUUUGGGCGAGCGAGCUGCUUCCUUCGCGGACGGAUGCUUCAUGUUCUAGUGCGGCUCGUCAUACGCGACGCACCUGGAUGCGACAACUGCUCCAGUCUCUGGAUGUACGCCCCUUGCAAAAUUCAUUGUGGGCUUGGACGCUUGGUUGAUGAGUUGCUGAAAGCUACCGAUUUCUGAGCUGCAUGGCUAUUGGUGGGCCGGAUGGACGGAUGGUGGUGCACCUAACUGGAGUUUAGGGAGUGCACAAGUGGUAUAAUUGAAAAUCAUUUUUUUCCUGGUGCAUGUGCACUCGGCAAGCCAAACGUGACUUCAUCCCUAUUCAUACAUAUUAUUAUGCAUCUAGAUAUACACUAUAUUCAAGUGCAUAAUAAAAAUUAUGCACAUAGAAAAGUUAAAACGACCUACAAUUUGGAACAGGAUAGAAGGUAAAUAGCAUUUUCAUACUUGACACAACACUCUGUCCUUUCGGAAGAGUGACUGUGGAAAAUACAGACCUGUCCUCCUCUACUUCGGUGCCAAUCGGGUCGUGCAGGCGCACGCACACAGCUAGCCCCAGCGCACACGGCCAGUACCGGCAGCCGGCCGGUCCGUUGGUCGAUCGCACGCGUACAAAGCCUCUCCGGCUAGGCGGCUCCCCCACGCACCGAUCGUGGAUUCGUGGUGGCUCGGUUCCGGUCACGUACGUACGCCACGACCACUCCACGGGCUCUUUCUCCGUUUGGGAAAGAGGAGAUGGGACCGAAUCAAAUGGUAAAGAUCCGUCGCCUGCCAUUGGCGCUGCCGCGCCUGUCCUCCUGAGACGAGCCGUACUGGGGCGCUGCAACCCUGCGGCGCCGGGCGCCAGGCUUUUGUCCCCCCGGUGGCACGCACGCCAACGCCCGGAGACGGCAGGCGGUUACGCCCCAGCCCGCGCGCCGGCCGCGUGCGCCCGGGCUCGUCUCGAUCUCGAGUGCGCCCGGCCGGUGGUGUGUAGUGUGCAAUGCGUCCGUGCACGGCGAUCCGUCUGAAAACUGGAAACUAUUCCUCUACGUACUGCCUGAGGUGCGAAAGAACGUUGAGUUCAGCCAAGUGCUACGUAGCUAUAUCCUGCCUAUAGGGGCGCUUGACUGGGCAUGGACCAUCUAGAUCCACGGUUGCAUCAUUGCAACUUACCAAAAACUUGUCCCGUGCUCUAUUUAGAGCAUUGGACACAUGCCGUGGAUGGACCGCCUAGAUCCAUGGCGCUACCAUUGCGCUCGAUCGGUCAGAAGUUCGUUUUUCUCCAUUUUAAUUUCAUCUGACGGCGCCCAAAGUCGUCCACUUUGGUUUUUGCAUCCCAUGAUCACCAUAUUUGCUAGGAAAGAGAGCCGCAACACAUAAUUACGAACAUUCCAGGUUUUUACUCAGAAAACCAAACAAACAGUCUAUUUCCAUUACCGUGUGCGAGUGCUCGAUUAACGGCCCGCGUUGUACCAACUUUGUAUUAAAUUCCUCUUAAUUGAAUGAUGCGCAGCUCUCCUGCGUAUUCGAGAAAAAACCAAACAAACAGUAUAGUUGUUGUGACAAACUAAGUAGUGCAUACCGGGUAAUUUAGCAAGUGACGGUAAUUAGCAAACCGGGUACACCUGGUUACUGAUCAGGCACAACACGAGCCACGAGGAACAAGCUUCAAUCAUGGAGGCCGUGCCUCGCUGCUCCUCCAACAAUGCAUCAUCGUCCAUGCAUCCAAAGCCAGCAGCCUGUUGGCAGUGCUCAUGCUCGUCCUUACCUCUGACGUCAUCCUCAUCACCAACCAACCAAACUCCCCAGCUCGCCCACCAAGAAUGAUACGCGUGGCCCACCUCCAUCUCCAAACCCCUCCCACGCUUUGCAGCCUUGCAGCUCCGUUCGCACGGCCGCGGCUACUCCUCCCAGCAUACCCACCCACCCCUACUGACUCGCGGGCCACAAGCGUCCAGGCCCCACCUCUCAGCGAGUCCAUACGAAGCACCCUCCCCGCCCCCGGCCCGCAGCGGCAGCGCCUGCCCCCCGGGUCCCUGACACAGGCGCCCAGCCGCGGAGAGCGAGGGGAGCUCUCGCAGUCGCAGCCGAGCCGCGGCAGCGGAGCCCCGAUCGAGCGCCGCAACGAGACAAAGCGGCGAGGCCACGCCACCCGCGUCGUCCCACGCCCACCGGCACCUUCCGAGCACCUUCUCCCAUGGGGCUCCACGUGUCGCCGGAUUCAAAUCAGACGGCACGUAACGUACGGGUAGCAGCAGGAUCAUGCACGGGCCGGACGGGGUUGGUGUUGGGGGUUUUGCAUUGCCGUGGCGAAGCCGGUCGCGGAGGCCCCGGUUGCCUGAAACGGCAAAUGGGAAAGCGCGCAAGCCGACGAGGCGGUUUAAAGCUGGGGGCAAAACUCAAAAGCUGUGACGGGUACGGGGAGUGGGUAGAAGCCUGAAGCCCUGCCAGAGAUAAGAGAGAGAGGAGAGGGGACAGCAGCAGGGGGUGGUGAGUUUGCUUGCUGCUGCCCCGGCUGCCCCCGUGGUGAGUACUACAAGAGAGACAAGGAUCGUGCGAGGUGGUUUCUGGACGAGGGCCUGGGCUGCUGGCAUAAAAGCUUGGGGGAGAGGGGUGGAGGAGGACACCAUCCUUCUGGGAGGCGAGCGCGCGUGCGAGGAGCCCGGAGCACCGCCGAGCACGCAUGGGAGAGGUGAGUCUCGCGGGGGUAGCUAGCUAGCUAGUAGCAAUGGCGCGUCCGCGCUCGGGUGCGAUCAUCGGCUUGUUCUCCGGCGCACGCGCCGUUGGGGUUUUCGCUCCGUGCUGCUCUCCUGUGUUUUUGGUUGGUCGAAUCGAAACCCCCGUUGGGUUCGUUGCUCGAGUUGGUUUUUGGUGGAUUUCCAUCGGGGUUCCUCGCUCGCAAAUGUGGCGUGUGUCUUCCGUGCUGCUUGCAGCGGCCUUGCUUUGAUGCCGCCGCCGAUGAUGGGUUCGCCGAGGCGGCGAGCGGCCGUGGACGGAGCUGGAAUUUCUCCCUCAUUUUUUUCCUUUUUUUUUUUUGGAGUUCCGAUCGGGGAAGAGGGCGUGCGUGUUUUUGUUUCCUUCCGUUCGAUUCCCGUUCAGCGGCUCGAUUUCGCUGGGUGCUCCGCAUGAUUCGUGGGUUUCCGGGGGUCCUUCCUGCGAUUCUGGCCGGCCUUCUUCGUCCGCGGCCCUCGGGGGUCUCGCCUCGCCUCGCCUCGCCGCCGUGUGUUUCCCAGCUCGCAGCAGCGCGAGCGCCGGCGGUUCGAGAUGCGAAAUCCGGCCAUUUCAUCGAGUUUUCUCUGAGCCGCUCUCGAAUUUUUGCUUGUUUAUCCCCCGCCGCGUCUCGUCUCGGCGGAUUUCUGUUGCUCGCGGGUUUUGUGGUUUUGUUGCUGUUAGGGUUUUUGGCCUCCGCGAUUUUCUCCCCCAUUUGGGUGGGUCGAGUUCGUCCCCAUUGCUUUGCUUCGGGUAAUUGGGUUUGUACUUGCCUUUUCCUGCGCGGCGUUUCACUUCGAUCGAAGGCUCGCCGCCGUAGCUUUGGGUUGUUGCCUCUCGCCCACCGGGGUUGAUGGAAGGGGACGGGAACAGGAUCACGGGACGAAAUUUCUGCGAGAGCGCUCUCUCCUCGCUCCAUCGCGAGCUCUUCUGAUCACCCCCCAUGUGCCCCCGUUCCAUCCCAUGCUAUUUCUGGCUUUGCUUUUGGGGUUGGGUUUUGGGGUUUUCCGCAGGCUUGCUGAGGUUUUCGUUCCACGCGCUAAUGACGUUUCGGUGCGGUUCGAUGCGACCCACCAUCAUCCAUGCCAUUUUUGGGAUUUCUUCUUGGGGUGGGGAGGUUUCUCUUGCUCCCCCCGUAUCCGAUGGCCGCUACUAUUUCCUAGGUGGUGGAUUCCGAAGGAAUCUUCCGCGCAAAUCUUUUGCGUGGCCGGGUAGCUUCGUAUCUGGUACCUGUGUCCAUGUCGUGUCAUUCGCAUCUAGGUGAUCCGGCCUCCGGCCAUUGAUGUGCUGAUGUGACCCAUCUCACUCAACUGGCCUCCCUGUGAUUUGACCGUGGUCUGAGCAGUGAGCAGGCACUGGCUUGGGGAAAACUCUUGUCCCUUCUGCUUGUUCUUACAUGGGGCGGUCAAUGGAUUCGUCGCGUUCCGUUUUCGUGUCUGUCGAGCGGCUUGCUUGACUGGGCUGAAUUUUUGUUUCCAAUUAGUGGGUUGCGGGUUGGUUUUCAGUUCCGUGCUGUGCUUGAGUUGAGUAAUUUUGGAAGUUUUUAUUUUACCUUUUAGAAUCCUUGCUUGGGUAGUGCAGUAAGAUUCAGUGAUAGCAAUGUUGAGCAAGGACACUGAUGGGUUUGUGGGAUUCCAUUCUGGCUUGUCUUUAGUGGCAAACUUGAUUAGUUUGAUUUUUGUUUCCUGGAUUUGUCACAUUCCACUCUGGCCUGUACUUAGCCUGCUGUUUUCCGGUCCUGCUCCUGCUUUCCUUGUGUUUCCAUUGCUCCCUGCAAAUGCAGUGAAAGUUGAAGUUUCGAUCAUGAGUUGCUUGGGGGUACUGCAAUAAGAUUUUGCCCAUUCUGCUGGGACAUGUCUCAAUUGAAGCAAGUUGAUCAUUUUUUGUUGUAGCAUAAUGUGUUCAAGUGAAUUUCGUCUUUUGAAUUUGCAGAGUUCAAGUGAAGAAACCAGCGGGACGGGAACCGCCGGCAGCAUGGACCGCGUGAAGCACGAGAACUUCUGCCGCGCCGUCGUGGAGGACAACACCGCGCUCCUCCUCUCGGCGGUGGGGCGCUUCAGGAAGGAGGCCCUGUGCCGCAUCCGCAAGGGCUCCGACGCCUCGAGGGUGCUGGACCAGGAGAUGUCCACGAGGCUGCUGCACCUCGCCUGCAAGCACGACGCGGUGGAGUGCGCCAGGCUGCUCCUCGAGGGCGGCAGCGGGAUCACGGCGGCCCCCGUCGAUGCCAGGGACCAGCUCACGCGGACGCCCCUGCACGUCGCCGCUGAGACACACUCGGCCAGGUGCAUCGAGCUGCUGCUCUCCAAGAACGCCCGCACUGAUCUGAGGGUGGUUGAUGGGAGACCUCUUCUCCCGCUUGAGAUUGCGCUAAUGAGCAGGAGGUAUGUGCAUGUAUUCCAUUGCUAGUUAAUGCAUGACUUUGACUGAAUUCAGUCCCCAAGUUUCCUGCAAUAACUGUACUGUUCUGUUUCCUCAUUCACAAUGUACUGUUCUCUCAUUCAGAGUUCAAACUAACUGGUCGCUGGACAAUCCAAUUGAAGAUCUUCUGUCUUUUCUUCAAGGAAGGGUCUGUAUCCUCAUUACUACACUUGCACAUUGUAUGAAUUGUUCCAUAGCUGAUCUGUAGGACUAAAUCCAUCUUUUUACUCAAACUGCCACCUCUCUUUUUGUGUAGGAUCUCAGUGCAGUAAGGCUCCUGGCAGAGAAAACCAGAGUGGUAGGGGAGCUUGCUUACAGAUAUGCCAUGGAGGGACGUGUUCCUUCAUUGGCAAUGCUGCUUCUUGUGGUUGAAGAGAAGAUAUUGGCACAAGUGAGUGUGGUGAUAGAGGGCGUCAGAACAAAGAGAUCAAUUUACAACGCCGUUGUGGAUGAGGCUUUAUCCAUGGGAGAUGCUUCUACUCGCGAUGGAAAUGAAAGGAGAAAGGCCCUGCUAUGUGAGAUUCAGCUGCUUAACCAAUUUGGGUCAGCAUCUUGGAGGGAGCUCAGUGACAGGAGAACAUUACCCCCUCUACUCAGGGCUGCUAAGGUACUACUAUGUCAUUUAGAAAUGCUUAUAAAUAACUUGGUCAGUACUCAGUAGUAUAGCUAUUUCAAAAUUCUACUCAUAUAUUAAAAACAAGGCUUUUGUUUAUGUUGCUUUCUUUUCCAUGAUAUAUGAAAUAAGUAUUUGCCAUAAAAUGUACUAGCAUGUGACUUGUGUAUCCAAUGUGUGCAUAGUAAAUGAACUUUUAGUUACUAUGACUAGCACUUGACUUAUGUAUUCAAUGUGCGUAUUUCGAGGUCUAAGCCGACUUUCAUGAAAAAAAGUUAUUUUUCUCAAAAUAGGUUGAUUACCUUAGUCAUGCUAUGCAUCACAAGCGGAAGUUUUUUGGGGCUACAACUUUGUCUUUAAAAAAUACUUCUGCUGAUCGACCUUUCUUGUGUAGGUUGGAGAUAUGAAUGUCAUAAAGAUGCUUCUGAUGGGGAAUGUUGAUGUCAACGAAGCUGACUCUGAAGGAAACACAGCACUUCACUGGUGCCUUAGUGGUGGCUCAAGUACACAGGAGCCAAGGUGCUCAUCUCAGAAAUUGCUUUGUCCAAACCAGUCAAUUGUAAGAUAGUUGUCUUAUUAGACCUCGGUCGGUUUCUGUCACUUUGCAGGAUUGUGUGGCUCCUGCUCAAGAACGGUGCCAGAGUUUUCCAGGGGAACAAAUUAGGCCUCACGCCAGUACACAGCGCUGCAGCUAAGGGCAAUUACAAGGCUCUUCAGGUAGCCUUCUGUUACUUCCAUAGUACCUAAUUGCGCUGUUGCGAGUUGUGACUAAUUGGUUUUAUUUUUCUUUGCUUUGAAAGUCACUUCUGCUUCAUGCCCAAGAUUGUGUUGAUACACCUACCAAGACCAAAGAAACCCCAUUAUUCUUUGCAGUGAAGAAUGGUUCUGUGGACUGUGUAAAACUCCUUUUGCGUUUUGGAGCUGAUACCAAAGCCAGGAACCUACGGUAAGUAAAUCUUCAGAGUGCAUUUAAAUAAUUGAAUUACAAAGAAUAAGUUACAAAAAGGAAAAUGCACAUAAUUAUUUUUAAUUUAUGGUCUUAUGCACUUAACAUGCUGCAAUUAUUUGACUUGAACAGAAAGCAAAGACCAAUUGACGUGGCAACGUCCCAGGACAUGCGUUUCGUUCUUAGCUCUGCAAAUGUGGCACCAUGUAAGAGACUUACAGAGAUUUACUCGUUUUCUGUUCAGCUUAAUCUUUCUAUAUGUACACAUUUUCUUCUUUUAGUUCAUUUGAUUUCUUCAACCAUAGUAGUAAAUACAAGCUAGAUGGAGUUCAAAAAGAUGUAAGGAAUUUAAUAAAUUGCAUAUGCUACCUCCGUGCAUAAAUAUAUGACAUUUAGGACAAGCUAUCUGGUUCAAAAAUGAACUAUUUUGCUUGUGCUAAACAUAAUAUAUUUGAGAACAGAGGGAAUAUAUAUUAUGUUAGCUGGUAUUACUGCAUGAUUAUGGACAUUUGGAAAUUGCCACUUUAACAGAAAUGCACUCUAGUUUCAGGGAAACAUAACUCACCUCAAAAGAAUCAUGUGAUGAGAAAGGAAAUUUGCAAAGAGCUUCUGGGUGAUGAGUUUGAUGAUUUAUACAAUGAUGACUAUAGCGAAAGGUACAUCUGGUAUACGGUACAUUAUUUACUUGAACUAUAACAUCUUUGCUUCUCACCUGUUGUUGCUUGAACUUUUAUGUAGCUAUACUGGGCUAAAGACAUCAGUAGGCCAGCGUGAUUUGCGGUCCAGUAACCGUUCUACUCAAGGGCCUAAGAGUAAGAGCCAAUAUGUUCCAAAACAAGGACAAGGCUCAAAGUUUGUGCCUCGGGUAAGUAAAGCAUGUUCUCUAUCUGUCAUCUGUCAAAACCUAUUUCUUUGGUCGGUCUGCUUCUUACACUACAUUCUUUUUUAGAACAAUCAUUGGCCUAAGCAUGACUACACUCGCAAAAUUUUUGUUGGGGGCCUCCCGCCUUCAGUGGACUCUGGUAAAUUUUCAUAAAUCCUUCACUGCUUGGUGUUGAGCAAAUUUGAAUCGAUAAACACUUCUAACCUUCUUUGCUGCCCCUUUCUGACAGACUUCCUUAUUGAAUUCUUCAAUGCUGAAUUUGGGCCUGUGGAGGAAGCUGUGGUCAUUGGGAUACCAAUAGGCAAUAGAUUGCAGUCCCGAGGUUUUGGCUUUGUAAAAUUUGAAAGAGAGAAGGAUAUGAUAAGUGCAAAGGAAGCCCAUCAUGUAUACAUGCUUGGGAAGAGAGUGGAGGUAAAGGAUGCUGUUGCUAGAGCAGACUUGCCUUUAGAAGAACAAAGAGCUACUUCUUUGAGGAAAUUCAUCAAGGAGCGCCCAAAGGUAACCCAUAGUGUGCUGGAUGGUGAACUAACCGAGGAGCACAACAUUCGGAAGCGGCGACCAUUGCCAGAGAAGUGCCUUCCAUCUUGGUUCUUUAUAUUCAGGAAGUGGUUGCCAGGAUUUCUUGAGGAUGCGACCGAGCGACUUGGGGGAGAGAGGUAUCCAUUAAGCUCUUUGAAGGGUGAUUUCAGAGCAACUUGCAGGAUGGAGCUUGAUCACACUGCACUUGGUUAUCCUAAGCUAAGUGACUUUAUGCGCUCCCUCCCAGGCAUCUGCAGGAUGUGUGUAGUUCCUGUUGGAAGCGGACCUGCAACACACAUGGUCCUUUUUCCACCGCUCUCAAGACCGAAGUAUGUACCCUUGCUAGAGCCGUACUCCUUUGAUCGUGAUGAGCUUCCAGAAUCAGUGUCUGAUCAUCACUCCCCAAGAUCUCCACUUAACACCAACAUCACGGAUGACUCCCCUCAUAAAACUGACAGCCAGCAGGGUGAUGAUGCAUGCAGUGCGACUAAUGUUCAGAUCCAGCAGAGUGAUGAUGCAUGUAGUAAGAGCAAUGCUCAGAGCCAGCAGGGCGAUGGGAGCAGCAGGAGCAGUGCUGAAAGCCUGCUGGAUGGAAGUUCUUCUGAUAAUGGUAGCUUACUGGAUGAUAUUCCUGUCAGCACCACAAAGCUUGAUUUGGUUGAGCCUGUACCUGCAGGAAAGCCUGAAGUGAUUGAGCGUGUACCUGCAAGAAGGCCUGAUGUAAUUGAAUGUGUACCUACAAGAAAGCCAGAUUUGACUGACUGCAUGCCUACAAGAAUGCCUGAUUUGAUUCAGUAUGGAUCUCUUCCCAGAAACAAUGAGUCCGGACCAGUCCGGAAGCCUAAUUUGCUUGAGUUUGGACCUACAAGAAAGCUUGACUUCAUUCAGUCCAGGCCUUCAACGUGCUUCAUUGAUAGUCCAGUUGAAAGGCCAGCAGUUCCUCCGAGCAGCUGUGAGGCUGAAAUGAGAUUCUCUUUCUUCCAGUCUCAGUGGGACAAGUAUCUGGUAAGAGCUCUCUGCUUGUGAACUUACAAUGUUUAUUAUGUUGGUUAUAAGAUCAGAAUAAUGUUCUUCGAAGUACUAACAUUGUUAUUUGCAUGUUAGACUCCAUAUCCCAAGAGUGACUCCUGCAUCAUCUGCCGAUCUUGCGAAGCCACGAUGCAGCUUGUCCCGUGCCAUCAUAAGAUAUGUGUUGCCUGCAUGAUGAGGUGUAAUGUCAGGGCAUGCAUGGCUUGUGGCACUUCUGUAAGUGGAGUGAAGUCUUCCCCUGUAGUGGAUGCGCCAUACAGAUAUAUGGUAGUGGAAAUUCUCGAAACAAUUAGAAUUGCCUUUGAUUCCCUGUUUCCAGAAAUAGCUCAUAUCAUUUGCAGACUGUUUAUUUGAAAGAAAAAGGAUCUUUGUGCUUAGUGUUUUUUUCUUCACUGCACAUGAGUUGGACUGGUCUGAUCAGUUGCUGAAUAUGCAGGGAGUCAUGGAGAGCGUUCCAGAUCAAAGGUGCCAGUUGAUGGUUGUCUGCCGUGGUGCUGAGGCGAUUGUGAGAUGUUCCCCCUGUAUGCACACCAUUGCUUGCCGAGGAUGCUUCCUGGCGUCAGUGACGUUACUGAAGACCUGCACCACCUGUGGCUGCAUGAUUCAGCACUUCAUGUUUGGUUGAAAAGUCUCACCUCCCUAAUACAGUAGUAUUACUAAGCAAACUAAGGUAUAGAAUAAAGCAAGCAAUCCUACAAUCUGAAGGAGAGAUCUGAUAUGCUCUCGUUCGGUUUUGCCACACUUGUGGGAUGCGCUAACAGGCUAUUUUGGUAGUGGUAUAUGCGCCCUCGCUCUUCUGAGCCUGAGGUGCCCUCUUUUGCCCCCUUCUGUUCUUGCUUAGAUAUGCUAGUCAGACAUGCUUGAUUGGUAUGCUACUUCUGCUUCUGUGAGCUUAUGAUGGCUCUGACAUUGGCAAGCUCACAAUAAUACCAUGUAAAGCCCCAUUAUCUAUUAUGGCACUCCUUUUGUAAACCUAUGAAAUUACUAUCUCAUGGGUUGUGGUGCUUACAAUUUACAAAGCCCCCUUUUGUAUAUGUUCCUGAUGUCUGGUUUGUUUGGCUCUUGCUUCUUUUUCUUAUAGUCAAGUUCAAUCAAUGUUUUGUCGCGGGUAAUCUGUCAUAUGUUGCAUUGUCAGAAUGCGCUCAGCAAGUUCCAGUUACAAGGGAACUUCGAAUCUGUAUUGCUCAAUUUAGUUGCUCUGCGUAGCAUUAUAUUUCCUACCGAUGUAAUCCCUGUCUAUUUCCUACCAUGUGCGAGUGCCCGGUUAAUGGCCCGUGUUGUACAAACAUCGUUUUUACCUUCCUCUUAGAUGCGCAGUUCUCCUGCGUAUUCUAGAAAAAGCAUUAUAUUACAUCACUUUGUUUUCAAAAUCGUAGUUGUGUGUAUUGCUCCCUUUUAGCAAUCAAUUUUCAUGUUAAGCUACUGGUUAUGCUGUUUCAACCACUGUUGCAGCCAUGAAGUUACGUUUGUGUGGCUCUUUGAUUCAGUUCUGUCAGGCUAAUCCCAGUGGGAGUUUCAUAGAGGUUUCAUGCACAUUAAAUACGGUGACACAUCAGCAUAUGUGAUGACAUGGCAUGGUAGUUAUGAAGUGAGAGAGGGAAGGGGUUUCAUCAGGAUGAAACUGUGUAUACACUGUUUCCAAAACUAUGAAACAUAUUGAAACUUGCAUUGGGGCUAUAGAGUUUCAUUUCAUCUAACUAUAUCCAAUCACAUGCCUCACAAUUAAAUGUCAUGGGCAUCCUAUGAAAUCGUGAAAUGAAACUGUGCACUGGGACUCCCUGUUUCAUUCAUGAGAAUACACCUCAUAGGAUGAUGUGACAUCUUUAAAAACAGUGCAAUGAAACCUUGCACUGGGACUAGCCUCGGGCUCCAUUUGACACUACCAGAAUGUGGUCUGUACUCUUUGGUGGACACUGGAAACGAGCUAUCAGUAUGUUUUAUUUAUUUGUACUCUGUGUUGGAAGUUGCAAAGAUAGACCCUGUUUGACUUCAUGUUUUGAAUUAACUGUGAAAUCAGACAAGCUUUGUUUUUGUGGAUAUGCUAAGCAUAAAACGAAGUGGAAUGCUUAGGAAUUUUUUUUUCUCGGUCCUAUUUCUAUGCGGGCACACAAUUGCACGCAAUGAGCUGAAACGAAAAUAGAUGGCAGCAAACAGUAACUUCAUGACGGUGAACAGUAGCCGGUGAUAGUAAUUGAGUACCUCAUCUCCUGUUAGCCAAGGUAUUCAAAUGAAAUCAAGAACGGUGUGCAUGAGCAUUUGAGAGAGCAGCACAUGAUCACCAGCUGUCGAAGUAGCCAUCCCACCGGCGCUGAUCACGGUCCUCCUCCCAGGGAGGAAGUCCCCGCUUGAUCCUGCUAACCCUCUCGAUCAUGCCAUCGACAGCGAUGUCAAAGGCGUCCCUGAACCCGUCGCCGGGGACCCUCGGGUCCCUGUACACGAUGCUGGGGAUCAUCCUGAUCACCUGCUCCCUCAUGGCCGCCACCUCCGCCCGGCUGAACCGCCGGAGCACGUCCUCCACCCGAACCGUGCCGUUGCGCACGCCGUCCCCCGGCACGAACACCGAGUACCUGGCGUGGUCGGCCGGCAGGUGCCACCGGUACUGCGUGUACGCCGAGCCCGGGUGGAAGAACACCGGCACGCAGCCGGCGAGCAUGGCGUCGAACGCCGACCGCCGCGUGUACGAGUCCCCCGGCGGCUGCAGGCAGAACGCCGCGCUCUUGAAGUGGCGCACGACGUUGCCGGGGGCGUAGCAGUCGUGUCGCCGACCGCGGCCACACUGCAGCAGCCCGCACCGCCGCGACCGCGCGCACUGGCCGAUCACGGCGUCGCGCAGGGUGCCGCCGCCGCCCGCGCCGCCGGGCCGCCGCGCACCGGCGAACGCGAACAGCCACGGGCGCCGCGCGCGCCGGAGGGCCCGCUGACAGGAGGCCACCUCGGCGGUGCGCGACGGGUGGAAGCAGGUCGGGUACGGCACGGCGACGUCGCCGGCGUGCCACGGGCCGGACUCGAGCACGAGCGCCGUCAUGUUGGCCGCCUCCGGGAGGAGCAGCAGGCGGCUGCCCCAGUUGCCGCCGUCCUGGCGCCGGAAGUCCCACGCGAUGCGGCCGCCGACGAGGAAGUGGUCCCGCCCGCCGCGCGCCGCCCACGCCGGCGUGGAGCGGAGCCAGCCCGCGAGGUCCUCGGCGAGCGCGUCGCGCGCGCCGUUGCUGGAGCCCCACAGGUGGCGGCCGACGUCGAGCCCCGCGUAGUAGGGCACGUACACGGCGUCGGCGCGGGAGGCGUCGGCGGUCAGGCAGCCGUACUGCCGCAUCCGGCCGUGGAAGAUGACCUCGAGGGUGAACUGGUUGGUGUCGUACCAGCCGGUGGCCGGGAGCACGGCGCCGGUGCGCGUCAGCCGCGGGCCCAUGCCGGCGUUUGCGACGUGCCUGCACAUGUCCGUCCACUCCGACAGGGACCGGCAGUUGCGGAGCAGGUCGGCGUUGAACCGGCUCGGCAGCUCCUGAACAUAGAUGUACCGACCGGCGCACCGGUCGGCCGCGGCCGCCCGAUUCGCCGCUCGUCCCUGACGCCCUUGACGUGCCAGCUGAGGCGGCGGCGGUGACGUGCCAGUUAUUUCUUCAAGCUUUGGCGGCGGCGGAGGCGACGCGUCAACGAUCAGCUCAUGCUCCGGCGGCGGCAGUGGCGGUGGCGGUGGCGAAGUUUCUGCUCUUGCUCGGCGUUCCGGAGGCGGUGGCGGCAACGUGUCAAUGAUCUCUUGACGCUCCGGAAGCCGCGGCGACGCGUGUACGAUACCUUCGCGCUCGGGCACCGGCAUCGUGACGGCGGCGCGUCGCGCCGUCGCGCCGACGAUCUCCCCGACGCUGACGUGGAAACUCUCGCGGCGACCCACGUCGAGCGCGGGCGGCGUCGGAGGCGCGAAGAAGAGGAUCGUCCACACGACGCAGCACGCCGGGACGACCAGCGGCAGGAGCCACCUGGCGGCCCGCAGCACGGCCGAGGCGCGCCCGCUCCCCAUGGCGCGUCACCGAACAAGCAGCCACUCGCCGCCGGGGAAUGGACGACCGCUGACAGGUGACAGCCCCUCGUCGGUGUCGCCGAAUGCGCGGCCGGGUUCAACUUGAAUCCACGGCGCCGCUGGCUGUCGGUCGCCACCAGGGGGGCAUCGCGGGAUCGCCGUCGAUACUGGAUCGGCGACGCGGAUCCGGCCGGCUCGAUCCCUUCCCAUUCUUGAUCGCAUUCCUGCCCAAGGAAGGAUGUUUCUUUCCAUCCACAGACGCCACCAAGGAUGUUUAAUUAGGCGCGAGUGCAUGGGAGCAUGGCCGGCACAGCUAAUGAUGGAUUGGCAGCUCGUGCAUGCAGGAUUUAGCGGUGCUGAAGAUCCCCAUGCUUUUGGUUGUUUCUGAAUCUUUGUCGUCUACAACCACAACUGGCUGCACAGAUGGUGCAGUGCGGAGCGCCGGGGCCACAUGUCAGUGGCACAUAGCUAGCCACACAGCACAGGUGUGGUUACAGGUCAGUCUCACAGAACAUUCAACGCCGGCAUUCUGGAAGUCAAUCGUGCAGGCAUCAACUGCGCCAUCCCGGCGCCGUCGGCGACGGCGUGGUUCCAGGUCACUCUGAGGACGAACCCGCCGGACGAGAAAUCCGCAGACGGCGAGGUUUCCCUGUAGCGUCAUCGAGAUUGAGCGGCGGGGUGGCUGAGGAAUGAGGAUAGCAUUUUUCAAGUUCCUGACAUCAGCUCGCGCAACAAACCAGCAGGUUCAGAGCGAAAACAAGGGCACACUGCCAAGUGCUAACCAGACAUCAUCAGACGGAGCACAACAACAAAGAUAAAGAGGUUCAGAUAACCGGAACAUCGAGCAGAGUUCUAACACGAAGCAUGGGAGUAACAACAUACAGGUUGAGGUUCUAGUCACAACUCAUAAUCUCCCUAGUCUUACAAAGUUCCUUGCUACAGCCUACGCUCUGAUUCUUCACCAGUCAGGAGCCGUGAGCUCACUACAUCAGAAGAACUUCUUCUAUGAAGCAGAAUCAUUAGCCUACUAAUGUCAUGGCAUAUUUGUACAUAACCGAAACGGGCCUGAAGACUUCCUGCGUUGCUACUUGUCCGACUCAGAUCCUUGGGGAGUUAGAAGGUGGUAAGGUAGCUCACGCCCUGCCGCUCGACCUGCACAACAAGAGGCAACUGUGAGAUCGCCGUAGAAAAAACAGUUUGGCAUUUGUCAUGGGCUUGAUUCUUGGUGAGAAAUGUGGCAACUUGAAAAAGGAACAUUAAGCUAGGUAACCCCAGAAUAUCUUAAUUCACAAUGACUAUGAACCAUUAAUGGAUGAUUCUCACUAGUAUAUGCAUGUACCAUCCUGACUUUCAGAGUAUAUCAGUUUCACUUCUAUUUAUUCUCAGUAAGGUUAUAGUGGAAUUUAAACUUUUUGAUUCAUAGUUUGGCCCCACAUGAAAUCAAAUUUAAGUUAGUUAUCAGUUCUUUAUAGCAAUACGUCCAUGUUUCUCAUGCUACUAGCUCACUUGUCCCUUCAGCCACACAAUUUUUUUUCCUGUCAUACUGCUUAUCAGAUACUCCUAUAUGUAGCUCAUAUUUCAUAUAAACCAUGCAGUGCUUAUGCAGCAGGAAUUUGAACAAAUUAGCAGGAAGAAGAAGUUUUUGGGUCUCUGUAUGAUCAAAGACAAGAAAUUGCUUCAGCCAGAAGAAGUGUCAGAUGUAACUGCCAUUUAUAAGCCAAUACUCUGAUGCUACACAAAAAAAAAUAGCAAGAAUGAUGCAAUUUCACAUUAGAGAAUCAGUCUAGGGAAAUGUUGCAUUACCUGCGAAUCUUCCUGCGCUUCGUAACCGAAAGCUGCUUCACCUGAUUGGACAUGUAGCUGACACACUCCGUUGUGGUAGCCCUCCUCCCCUCCUUGUAGUUCCAUAGCUCAUAGGCAAUGCUUCUGUCGCUCAGACGACCAUACCCUUUCAUCUCCACCAGUGCGUUAACCACAGCAUUAUGGGCACCAGAGCCCCAUGCCCUCUUCAGCUCUUGCAACUUUUCGUCAUCAACGUUCACAAUCUCCUAAUAUGAUAAGCAAUACACAGUCUGUAAUCCUUUAUAAUGGAUCAAAAGCAUCCUGUGAGAUACCAUACCAUGAAGCUUUCUAUAAUUGACAUACCUGCUGAUUGCCAUCAACUGUGACAGUCUUGAAAGGAUACCAGCUCAGAUCACCAAGUUGCUGCUGCCAUGAUGAGUAUAACUCAUGAGAUGCUGUGCCAACUUCUUCAGGAGGUAACUUUGCGAGACAAGCAGCCUUGAAUGCCUUCUCAUUCAAUUCCCCCAUUUCCUUUAUCCCAAUUUUCCUUCCGCCGAUAUCAAUUUCAAGGAAUCCCUGGAACACCAACUUGCAUGUAACAUUGACUCCCACAACAUACACCUCAAACUAAUGAAAUUAUGCUACAAGAACGUAUGCAGUGUCCUGGAUCAAAGAACAAUGAGUAAAUAUUGAGGGAUAUGAUCCAACCUUGAUCAGCUCAUCUCUGACUGCCUCUAGGUCUUCUUCGCUCACCAAAACACAUGAUGUUUGGCCAACAGGUGGCUUGUCUACUAACUCUUUCCUAGGGCACUCUUUGGUUAAUGCAAUAUUGACAGCAUCAUUUCCCUGAAGUCUUUCAGACAGUCUUUUCUGUUUCUCCAUUGGUCCUUUCAGCACCUGCGUUAUGGUUAACACUUAUCAGCGCAAAAAGAUAGCUCAAAAUGCACGGACAAGGAAUGAACAGAAAUGAAAUCGACCGGGGUAAUACUAUUAUCUUAGAAGUUGGUUAGUCACAGACUGAAAUAUAAAACUUGGAGAAAAUCCAGGCCCCUUGCAAAGGUUCCAUACAUUACUAUUUUCCAACAAUUCCAAAGGAGACAGAGAUCGACUAUCCAAUUGGCUAGUAUGCUCAUUUUUGUCAGCGCCAUAUUCCAAAGUUCCUUCAGAUGGCCUCUUCCUCUUUUGCAUUGAUCUUGUUUGCACCUAUUUUCACGAUCAAGAUUAAUGAGCUUGAUAUAAUCCAAUACGGGAAAAGUUAAACCUAAAUAAAGUUAUGAGCGCUGCAGGAGCUUGGCCAUUUUGUAAAAGGUAGGUACAUGAAGAUGGAUAGGUAUCUUAGGAUUGUGUAACCUAACUGAAAAUAUAAAAAGGAGAAAACACAUGUUAAUUUCUCUGCAAAGGUUCUGUGUGAAGGCACUCCAUGUAUUCCAAGCAAGGAGAAGAUUAAUUACUUAUGAAAGUUAAUAUACAAAAAUUUAGAGACAUUCGAUCUGUAAGUUUAACCACAACAACAGAGCAUUAUAAAAGUCUUGAAGCAAGUUGGGGUUGGCUCCUAGACAUGAAACCCAACAAGGCAUAGCAUAAUAUGAAAAAAAAAGAACAACAUAAGUUCAAAAUGUAAAGAGCUAUAACAUGUUAGGCUGCACUGAAGAAUGCGACUGGCCAAUGGCAUUAAGAAAUAACUUAUUAUUGGGGGCAAAGGCUAUAGGUUAUCUUAUUACCCCUUUGGGUUGGAUAGGAUCCAUAACACUUCCACACUGUUGCUCAGCUUGAUUAUUCUUGGCUUCACUCUUUUCGAGCUUUUUUUUUAGAAACUCAAUGUAAUUGUUCUUUAGAGAAAUCUCCUCUGUUGAUGACACAAGUGCAUCCCUUGCUGCCGUCAAUGUGUUCUGUGAUGCCAAAAGGUCCUCCUUCAUUGCUGCCAUAGCCUCUCCAUUUGCUGAAAGAAAAAUUUCAAAUGAGAAAUGGUAUUUCAACUAACUAGAAAUGGUUAAAGAAUGCAAUAAGUGCAUGGCUUUGGUGAAUAUUAUUACAGAAUGUCAUCAUGCCAUUGAACACAAUAUCACACACUGUGGCCCAAAGGAACUACUUCUAGAAACAGAAUUUGGCAUGCAUAUGGAGCUGACCAUGCUGCUCACGCCGGAGCAUCUCCUCCUCAUUCUGGAGCCUCUCCUUCUCUUGUUGGAGCCUCUCCUUUUCUUUAACAACCCCAUCAAUUACAUGUUUUAUCUCGCUGUACUCAGCCAUGGCAUCUUUGAGCAAAGAUAGCUUGAAAUCAACCUUUGAAGCCAUUGCACCUAGGAGCCCGUUCGUUCCUGUGUCCUCUGCCAUUCUAUCUGCAUGAUCAGUAGCCAACAGAAUGUCAUCACAUAAUCACCUGCAUUCUGUUCACCUUACGACAGUUUAUACAUUGUAAAACUGAUCUUGUAGGUCAAUGAAUCUCAGGUGAUGUCAUAGUUUUAGAUGGCACUAAAUGAACCAAGAGUAUGUUAUAGUAACUGAAUGACAAAUAAGCAUGAGGCACGCCUUCAGUUUAGACAAUUCAGAAUUUCAUCAGGGCUAGAUUUAGGUCCACAAUCUAGUUAGCUUAGGAAGUUCAUAAGUUCAUUACAGAUUAUACUUCGACCACAUUAGAUUUCAAGAAAUUGAAGAAACAUGCAGUGUGGUAAACACAUAUGGACUAUAUGAUGGAUGUUUCUCUAUCAUAUCCCUUUGUUGAAAUAGAGGGAGAAACCAAGCUCACAUGAUAUUCAGCGAAGGUAACUGUGACAUGAACAUUGGCCUGAACAAUUGUAUCAUGGAAUGUAUUUCUGAGAUUACUUUCUAUCGUGUGUUUACCUAGUGAUUCCAAAGGCAAUCAGCAACAAGAAUUUAGCACAAACUAAGGCUGUUCAACGAAAAAAGGAGAUCGAUCUGUGCAUGGCGCUGUAACCAAAACCUCACCUUGGCAAAAGGACAACAAGAACUAGCACCAAUUCGUUGCCUACACCCCCAGCAAAUUAUCAGUAGCCGUCAAAUUAACAUGCAGAGGAAGUAUUCGGGUAGAUAACUAGGGGUGUAGUUGAAAUCUGCAAGAGAAGUCAAGAUCAUGAAGCCUGAAGGGCUUGGAAAAGAGUGGCAAAUUUGAAAUUUCAUCCACUGAACCAAAAGCGAACCCACGAAACGGCAUUCAGAAUGCCUUCGGCUCCAACUCACGAAAUAAAAAAAGGGUUUUCUGCAAUGCGAAGUGACAAGAUCGGAUCGAAUCAUGAAAUAGGAAAUUUAUAAGCGAAUGUUUGUUUAUAGCCUUCAAACUAAGAGAGCCAAAACGACAUGAUUUUUUUUUCACCAAAGACGAAUUGCAGAAAACUAAAUCAACUGAGAAUUAAGGUGAGAGGCACACACAAGAACGCACGCUUCCCCUAGAAAAGUAUCGCCUUUUAACAGACGGAAGCAAAAAGAUCCAAGAACCGCGGCAUUGGGUAAAUCUACGCGCUCAAGAAAUGGCUACAACCUAGUGAGAGAACUCUUCCUUCAGAGAGCACAAAAGGAUCCAAGCCUGAGAUGGCAUGAUCAUCCCCAGCCCCAACCAAGAACAGCCACAAACUCGCACGGAAUAAACUGCGCAACAGAUGGAGAAGGUGAGCAGUGAGAUGAGGCGAAAGCAAGAAGAAACACCCACCUAUUUUUUUGAAUCAAUGGAACGUCUCGCCCGCCUUGCAAACCAACCAAGAUGAGCAGUCCAAAUGAAUGUUGUACUGCAAGCUUUGAUUUCGUUGGUUGGCAAGAGAAAGGAGAAAAGCUGAAAGCAGCCGCCAGAGUGGUCUGAACUCUGAACUGGUUCAUGUGGUCGGUGCUCUGCCUCUGCUGCCCUGUGUACCUCGCAGCCAAAAACGGCGAAGCCUAGUCACAGGUCACUACCCUGCUCUGCCUCUGCCUAGUCACAGGUCACACCAAUGCAGGCCCACGUGCCAUAGAGACUAGGGGUGUAGGAUUGGGUGUGAGUAGCUAGAGGUGAAUCCCAAUUGCUGUCUUGCUUUUUUUUUUGGGGGGUUGGUUCACGAAAUCGUCGCCCUGUUCGCUUCAGCUUAUUCAGCCGGCUUAUCAGCCACCGAACAGUCACCCUGUUCGCUUCAGCUUAUUCAGCCGGCUUAUCAGCCACCAAACAGUAUUUUCCUCUCACAACAAAUCAGUCGUUUCAGCCAGCUUAUAAGCUGAAGCGAACAGGGCCAGUGUUUUCCUCUCACAACAAAUCAGCCGUUUCAGCUUUUCAGCCGGCUUAUAAGCUGAAGCGAAUAGUCCCCGUGAUGUUAAGAAACCUCCUUUCACGCAAAAAGGAAGCUCCAAACUUACUCAGAACAAGGGCUUCACAAAAAAGCUUGAUCCAGUGCCGAUUGAAGUUUCUUUAACGUGGUAUUUAAUUUCCUAUGCCACUAAUUCAUAUCAUGUAGCUGUAAGAUGUUCAUGGCAGAUUUUCUUCCAUGUAGAGGUGAGAAUGGUAAUUUUGCAAUGUAAUACAUGUCGGGCUACACAGAUAGAAACUAUUUAUACUAAACUCUUAGCUAAUAAUCAAAAUUGUUUACCUACUAGUCUCUUAUUUUUCCAAUACUUCAACAUAAUAAUUAUAUAGAUAUGUACCUAUCUUUGUCCAGUUGUGAUUGCUUUUUAAUCAAUAAUUACUCUAUGUACUUUUUCAUCCAUAUUCAUACUUUUUCCAUUUUGUAUCACACCUCCAAUCCUUCAUACAUUAUGUUUAGCAUACAAAUCAAUAUUUUUCAUCGAUUCCUCACAUACAUGUAUAAAUGGUCUAAAUGGUGGCACUCAUCAUGUGUAUAUCCUUUAACUUAGUGUUUUUAUAUUAACAAUGACAUAAAUAGGUAAUUUAGAAUCAUAUAUUAAUUUACUUUUUAACAUUUUUGUACGAUGCACACGAAGAUAAUUAGAUUAAGAUUUAGGUGUUUACUUUAGGUUAUUUUUAAUAUCGACAUACGAUGGUAACAUAGAUAAAAUUUUAGAAUGAUAUUUUAAGUUGUGCUUUAUAAUGAUGUGUAUUAGUAAAUUGGAUGAAGAUUAUGAGGUUACUUUAUAUUAUUUUUUAUAAUAGCUGAGCUCGGUAAUUGAGAUAUAGGUUUAGAGCUUACUUUUUAAUAUUUUCACAGUGACAGUAGCAGGUAACCUUUUAGAAAAUAUAAUAGAUCAAUGGAUAUGAUUAUUAGAGUUUACAUUAUUGGUGUUUGAUGUUUUUAAUUUUUAUGAGAAUUUCUCUCUUUUUUCUAGCUUAUCUCAUGGGAACUAAUGUGGAGUUUCCAAUGGAAAAAAAUGUAGGGUUACCUCAUGUUAUUUUUAAUAAUAGCAUGUGUGUGGUAUAUAGAUGCAAAUUUAAGGGGUUACUUAAAAAUUUUAAGUAAUAGUGGUAGUCAAUUCAGUUGCAAAUUAGGGGGUUAUUUUAGAUAUUAUUUAUAAUGGCAUAAGUGGGUAAUUUUGAUGAAGAUUAGGGGUUACUUUAAUUAAUUUUAUAUAAUGGCAAAGGUGGAUAAUUUAUAUAUAGAUUUAGGGGGUUAUUUUAGACUAUUUUCAUAAUGGUAUGGGUGGGUAAUUUUUUAAAAAAACAUAAUAGAUCCAAUGGCUAUAAUGAUUUGAAUCUAUCAACCGAUGGUCGGAUGUUUUGCUUUUUUGUGAGAAUUUCUAUGAUUUCUCUCCUUUUCUAGAGUGUCCAUCUAGAAAUCCUAGGUGGCUUCACCUGGAGGCUUCAAAAGGAGCCUCCAAUUAGUAAUAGGAAGAUACCACAGCAUAUGCCACUUCCUCCAUUUCAUUUUAUAAGGCAUGCGUGAAUUGUAAGAGUCAAACCUUGUCAUUUUUAACAAACAAUUAGCCAAACAUGAUAUAAAAUCCUAUUACGAAAAAAUGAUAUCACUAGAUUCAAUUCACAUUUGAAAAAUACUCUCUUAUUGUUAUGAUUUUUUUGAGUUAAACCAUGCCCUCUAUCUUUAAAUGAAGGUCUUAGCUUUCUUACUCGUGUAGAUCUUAGACUACAAAAUCACCGAGUACAAAGGGGGCAAGUUCAAUUUCACACUGUCAAGAGCCACUGAACAGCACUUAGGGUGUGCUUGGUUGGCAGCCUUGGUUUGCCAUGCCGCAGUGUGGUGCAGGAAAUCGACGCCACACUCCGUGGCGUGAAAUGCUCUAGACUUCACCUGUUUUGCAUGUGGCUGCCGGUACAGAGCAGACCAACCAAGCACCUGCCCAAUUUUUUAUGGCUACCGCACUUGUGGCUUGGCAGCCGAGACCCAAGCACGCCCUUACUAUACGAGAUCCCUCCAUUGUGGGCAGGGCAAAGUACGUUGUUACACACAGCACCACUCAGUCUAAAUUCUAAAAUAUUCCAUGGAAUGCACUACGUACUAGUUGGCCUUUCACUUGGGAAAAUUUUUUUGGCAACACUGUAAAUUUGUUGUCAAACAAAAGUAGGCCUUGUCGUGCACAAUAGAGAUGUGCAUCAUCUAUUGCGCUAGGUGUUAUGAAUGGGUUUACUGGGCCUCCCGGCCUCAGUCAGGCUGUCAAAAACACAAAACUGGAAGCCCGGACCAUUCAGCCCAUGGAUCUUAAACGUGUAUACUAUGGAUGUGUUGAGGUCUUGAGGACCAAAUCUCUCAAUUGUGAGCUUUUCUACUAGACUCACCAGCAGCACACAUUGGAACAAAGGAAAACUAAGGAAUUUUGAAGGAUUUCAAUCCUAUAGGGAAAUUUCCUAUGUGCCUAUGCUGCAUCCAAAGGUUAUGUUACACAUUCUGAAUUUCAAUAGGAUUGCAAGUUUCAUGCAACUUCAAUAGAAUCCUAUUGUUCCAAAGAGAGCCUAAUAUCCUUGAUCCUUGCCUGAUCAGGCAAACUCAAUGCAGUCACUUUGAUUUGAAACUUCGUCUGAAUUUCUCGCUUAUUCAGUGCUAAGUAAGAAGCUUGGCUGCCUUGGCAUGAUCCAUGACUGACAACAUGUAAUGUAAGCUUGGUGUUGGUGAGAAGAAACAAAGACAGUACAAGCAGCAGCAGCAGCAGCAGCAAUACAUGCAUUUCUGGAUUCUGAUCAACUAGAGAGAAAGAGUGAACCUUAACAACAGUUGUGAAAAGAGAAACAACAGGAAGAGAUUCAUGGCGUCGUCGUCUGAUUGCUGUUGGUUUUACAUGUCGCGUCCAAGAAGGCAAGAAAGUGUGUCAAGCAGGUCGAGCGGCGGUGAUGGCGUCGGCGGCGGCGGUCAGUUCAUGUCGGUGGCGGCGGACCAUGGGCGGGAGCAGCCGAGCUGCUCGAGGAACUUGGCGACGCGGGCGUGCUUGGCGGCCCACUGCUCGGCCAUCUUCUCCUCCUUGAGCUGCGCGUCGCGGCGGAGCUCGGCGACCUUCUCCCGGUGCUCCCGCUCGACGCGCUCGGCGGCGGCGGCCUGCUCGAGCCGCAUGGUGCGCAUCUUGGCCUCGAACUCCUCCCACACCUCGCGCCGCCGCAUCUCGCGCUCCAUCUCCAGCUGCUGCUCGACGCGCUUGAGCCGCCACGCCGCCUCGCGCCGGUGCGCCGCCCACGCGCGCUGCCCCUCCUCCAGCUCCCGGCAGCACUCGGCGAGCUCCGCCAGCGCCUGCCCCUCCACCACCGCCAUGCCUGGGGCCGGCGGCGGGCCGGGGGGAGCGUGCUGCGGGCUCGGGAACCCGUACGCCGCCGCGGCCGCCUCCGCCGCGGCGCGCUCCACCGGCAUCCACUGCGCCGGGGCGGGCGGCGGCGGCGCCACCGCGGCUGACGCGAGGCUGAGCGUCACGGACGGUGACGGCGGCCUGGGGGGCGGCGCGACUACCGCGGCGGCGUUGGGCGACGACAGCCAUGGCGGCAGCACGGGCGCCCCGGCCAUGAUCAGCGGUGGCGGCGGCUGGGGCGGCGGCGGCCUCUCGCCGACGAGCUUCUCCGCGAAGUUCUCGAGCAGCCACUCGUACCUCCCGCGCUCGUCGGGGCUGGGCUCCGGCGGCGGCCUCCUGCUGUCCCUGAGCUCCCGCUGCUGCUUCUCCUUGAAGACCUCCCACCACUUGCCGAGUCGCUUGGCGGUUCGCCCCGGCACCUCUGCGGCGAUCUUCUUCCACUUGUUGCCGUGCUUGGCCUGGAGGCGAAUGACGAGGCGCUGCUCGUCGUCGGUGAGGGAGCCCUUCUUGAUCCCCGGGCGGAGGUAGUUCUUCCAGCGCUCGAGGCAGGACUUGGCGUCGCGGUCGAGGGCCACGCUCAUGCGCUGCGACACCAGGUGCCACUCCCGCGGGCCGUACUGCCGCACGUACGCCCGCAGCACCGCGUCUUCCUCAGGCCGCCACCUCUGUCGCUCCUUCAUCUGCGCAGGCCAUCGCCCAUCCCGCACCUCCACACACUCUCAUAAUGCCACCUGCUUCCAUUGCAGCCAUGGAUUCCAUACCAUGCCAUGCAGAGAGAAAAAAAGACCAGAUCUUUCUUUAGAUCAUCGCAACAUCAAUCAGUUUGAACAUUGAAAAAGAAAGAUCAAGCAAAAAGAGGCACUGGCAACUAACUAACUAUGCUAAUCUGACAUGGAUCACACAGAUGUUUCAGUCAGUGUCUUGCUACAUGCAGUGAUGCAGAACAGUGAUGGCCAUAGCAGAGAUGGGGAAGAAAGAAGAGCAACCAGGUAGAUGCCUGUUUUCAGUGGUGGUUAGCUGCUCUAAUUCAUUGCAAUGCAGCAUUCAUAACUGCCGGUUUCAGGUUGGGGGUGGCAAGAGCACUAAAGCAGGGAGAGGAGUAAUAGCUACUGUGACCUGCAAAGCUCGCUAGUCGCCACUCCUGCAGCUGCCUACAGAGACAGCAGCCAAUGCAUACUCCAGAAACAUUACUGCGGCUCUAACAAUUCUCCCACACGGUAGACAGGAUCAUCUGCAACUUCUCCAGGCAACAUUUACACUGCUAGUAGCAUGACCAAGAACAGAUUCUCCCUUUUCCACAUUUCUUUCUUGACCAAGACUAGAACUUGCAGCCUUGCAGGCAACCUAUGACAAAUGGUAGAAACUGUUCAAGAUUAACCCGUUGUAACUUUUACUAUACCAAGGUCCAAGGUAGUAAAACCUACGGGCCAUCAACCUUGACCAAGUAAUAAGGUUAACCAAACUUCAGAGCUACAGCUACCGAAGUGAAGCUCAAGCAAUCAGGCAUCCAAGGCUACGACGCCGCUACCAAUCAGCGCGCACACAUGGAGACAAAGGUGUGGGCACGGCCACGGCCGCUACGAGCAAGCACGCGCUGUUUUCUCGCGCGCUUGUCUGGUUUCUGGAGCGGGGUCGCCAUCCGCCAUUAACGUGGCGCCUCAUCGAGGACGGAGAGCUCAAAUCCGCCCGGAUUAAAUGCCAAACCUAAUACUCGUGCCUCAGGGAAAGCAAAAAGCCAACGCGGGGGGAUAUCGAGCAAAUCUCAGACAAUAAUGCCACCUUGAUGACGCCAGGACCAGCGCUAAUCCGAGCUUUGGCGCCUUUACUAAAUGCUAAUGGCAGGUUAGAGGCGGCCACUCCCAUGGAUGGCGAAGCUUUGGAGCUUGUGGAUUGGUGAAGUGAAAUUUGCAAAGGAUGGAUUAAAAUUACUGGAGUGCAUUUUUCACCUAACCGUUAAACUGUCUGUAGAAACAGGAUCCAAGACAAAACAGUUUUUUUCAAGAGAGUUGGUUUAGAGAAAACUUAUGGGGCCUAACCGUUAAGACUGAAUCUUGAACAAGAUACUGCUAGCAAACAGAGCUAAGCCUAUGCUAUAGGUGUUCAAGAUUGGUUGGUCCUACGAAAUUUAUCGUCCCGUCAAGCAUAAUGAUGGGGAAACAAAAAAAAUAGAUGUUGAAAGCAAUGUAUCAAAGCCGAAUCGAUGUGGUAUUUCUAGCGGCUAUGGCACUGACAAAUUGAAGGCAGUGGGGUUAUGCUACAGUUAGGAUGGGACUUGGAUCUGUGGUGCUUUGUACAGGUUGUGCAAUCUUUAGAUUCAGGUAAUCCAUACAGCAGCAAGUUCGUUUUCUCUUCAGAUUCCUCAUCAUUCUGCAUCCUUCUUUGGUCAUAAUUCUCGCAUAUGCAAGUGAAUAUUCCAAAGGGCACUAGAGAUGAAGAGGAAGCAGUUGAAACAAUCAUGAAGCAAUCGAACCAGAAAUGAUGAGGGAAACAUGGCAUUUCUGAAAGGGGUAAAACUCUCAAGUACAUAGUAACAUGAUGGCAUAGUUUACUUCUGAAUUUCUAGGCUUUACUAAGAAAAACGGUGAUGCCGUGCACACACUGACAAAAAAAAAAGAAUCAAAAUAACAACAAGGAUCCUAACGUAGAAAGCAUCAGUACUCAAUACUGCAUAUGCAGUAAUACUUGCCAAAAAAAGGAUUACCAGGACACCCAACAACCAGUAAAUUGAUGCAGAAAGUAGUAGACAAUAGCUGAGAACCUGCUACGAAUUAAGACGACGAAAUUUCCUACUCGCACAGUGGCACCACAAAGAAGAAAUACAGGCACAAUACUGUAACGGCAUAGGACUAACAGUCUGCCAUCAUUUUCCACACAACACAACCUAGUAUAAAACACGACCCAGGAACCAGGGAGCAAUCCUUAUCACAAGAUCAGCAUCUACCACAGUAUGUAGCACCAGGUGUAUGUGCAAGCCAAGAAACGAAUAGAUCAGGCUACUCCACAUCACAAGCAGGAGUUUUGAGAGCAAACCAUCCCCUUUUCCCUCUUAAACAACCCAAACAUCAACAAACUGAACUAAACGAGCAAGCACAAGAAAGCAGAAAACUAUCUACUAUCUUUUUCCAGAGCACAGCAACUGGCACCACUGCCACUGGAUGGUGGUAAUGAACUGAAACUAGUGAGCUGAGACGGUUGAGGAGAGCAGGGAUGCUUACAGAGGCACGGCUACACCAUCCUUUCCUUGCUCAGCAGUUCCUGCCCUCCCUCCUCUCCUUGGUUGAGUUGAGGCUGGAGGUGGAAGAAGGAAGAGGAGUCCCCCAAAUAAUUGCAGAGGUGAAGAUGACCAAGGGCCUGGCCUCUAGCAGGAGACGAGAGGAGGCAAGGGAUAGGGAGGUGCGAGCUGAAAGAUUCCUUUCCGCGGCCGGCCGGCUCGCUCGGUCACGGCGUGUGUGUGUAUGUAUAGAAGGGGAGGGAGAGGGAGGUGAGGUGGGGGACAAGGCGCAGCGAGAAAUUAGGGCACGCGGAAAGGAAAAGACGGGGCGAAAGGGGGUGGCCGAAAAGGGGGCGCGCGUGUAUAUAUAGACAGGGCGCGGCGCGGUAGAGAGAGCCAGCAAGCGAGCGAGAGAGAGAGAGAGAGAGAGAGAGAGAGAGAGAGCUGCUAGCGAGCUAGGCUGGACUGGAGCACUGCAGGUGCAGCGGCAACAGGCCAACAGUUGCAGGCAGGGGCAGGGCAAGAACCACACCCACACGGCUACACAUGCAGCGCUGCCGCAGCAUGCACAUGGAGGAGCUGGAGGAGGAAGAGGAGGAGCGUGCAGGGCAGCCAGUACGUGGUUGUGGGGGUGGGCCGGGGGCGCUUUCUCUGCGCCGAGCUGACUUCACAGUACUGGUACUGGCUGGGGGAGGGAGGGAGAGAGAGAGAGAGAGAGAGAGGCACAAACAAGGGAUGGGUGGAGCUCAGCUCGCAUUGGGACCAGGGGGGUGGGUGUGGCGGGCACCUCAGCUCAAAUCAAACUGUUUCAUGGAAUGCAGGGAUUCCUUUCGAAACCCAUGUAAAAUUCAUGCAAUCCAAACGAAGUUUUUUUGCAUAAGAGUGCGCACGGAUCCGAGAUUCCUUGGACGGGCGGCAGAACCUGCGCUCGUGGAUUCAUUCACAUAUUUUCAUUCAUCGCAAAUGGCCAAAUGGGGUUCGAUGAGGGCAGAGAACGUUCGAAUCGGAGGCGGAGGGAAACCGAAGAGAGGAGGAGGCGAUGGGACGUGCAACCAAUGGCAGCAGAGCAGGCUGGGUCCGGCGGUGGGAAAAGGCGCCGUACGUCGUCGGCGUCGCGUCUUGUCGCGGCGGCAGCGCGUGGAAAGCGAUGAAAAGAUGGGGAGGGAAAAGCAGCAGGGAAAAGAGGUGAUUCCACGAGUCAAAUCGGAACAACAUGGCGGAGGUUACGGGUUGAACGUUUUAGGUUGUAGCCGCUGCUGCCUCACCCUCGUUGCCUCCUUCGUUGGGGUGGUUAAGGGGUGUUUAGUUUCUUGAGUUAAAUUUUAGUUUCUGUCACAUUAAAUAUUUGGAAGCUACUUAGGAGGACUAAAUAUGAGUUAAUUAUAAAAAUUAAUUGCACAGAUGGAGGUUAAACGGCGAGAUGAAUCUAUUAAGCCUAAUUAAUCCAUCAUUAGCAAAUAGUUAAUGUAGCAGCACAUUGUCAAAUUAUGGACUAAUCAGGCUUAAUAGAUUCAUCUCGCCAUUUAGCCUCUAUCUGUGCAAUGAGUUUUGUAAAUAGUCUAUAUUUAAUACUCAUAAUUAGUAUCUAAACAUUCGAUGUGACGGGAUUAAACUUUAAGGGGUGGGAACCAAACACCCCCUAAACCUAUUUCCAUUCGAUGCACCCCGACAACAAUACUCAUGGAACCACUCGUGAGCAUCUCAACGUACUACUCAUUUUACUCAUUUUUAACUCUCCAUUUGACUCUCUAUCUAAAUUGGUAAAAAGAUUUAUCUCCAUAUUGAGUGUCUGUUUGGUAGAGCUUCAUCUGAUUCUGAUUCUCUGUGAGAGUUGAUUCUAUGGGAGAAGUGAUUCUGUGGUUGAGAGUGAUUCUCUUUUAUUCUCUAGCAUAAACUCUUAAAAUUAGGAUGGAGAAUCCCUUCACAGAAUCAGGAGAAGCUACUUUUUUCCAGCUCCAACCUCUUAGUUCAUUCACAGAAUCACUUCACACAAUCAGCAGAGAAUCACUUCUCUCAGAAAAACUAUUUGGCAGAGCUACUGCUGGAAUCAGCAUAGAAUCAGCUCUGGAAACUCUACCAAACGCACCCUGAGUUGCUCAUUCCCAACAGACUAUACAUUUCCCACUCUCCGAAUCCCAACAACUAGUUUCCUCUCUAAAAAUACGCACUCUACAUCCACUCCAACAGCCUCUCCCUUUCGCACUACAACAACCUCUCCAUUUUGCACUCUCCAUUCUUUCACUUACUGCGUGUGAAACCCACACUUUGACAAGGCAAAUUGCCUUGCCAAAUUUGGCAAGUGUGAAGUGAAGUUCGGCAAAUCGGAUAGGAUGAAGAGCCAGAUAGCAACUCUGUUGGACCACAAUUUUCUUACUAAUUUGCUAAAUUUUAGCUUGGAGAGUCAGAUAGAAACUCUGUUGGAGUUUCUGUGUACUAGGUAGUACUAAUUACUUGACAUUUGGAAAGUAGGAAAUUGAUAGUUGGAGGGACUGUGCCCCUCACAGAGUCACAAGUCGUGCCGUUCUGAAGGAUCUUGUGUAGUACUGUACUAAAUAUAUAUAUAAAAAUAUAUAUAACUACUAUUUUCAAAAAGUCACUUACUGAACCAUGUGCACGUCUACACUAGAAUAAUGUCUUGGAAUAAAAAUGUCAAACAGAACUAGCACUAUUACAGUGGGCCGCUUGGGUGCUUCACUUUUUUAAACACAAAAUGUGCCCACGUAUAUUAGUGAACACCAGGCUGUAGCACUGGGACUGAUGAGCACCUGCUAUUGUUGCAUUCAAUUUAGGACAUUUUUUGAAUCUCACAAACUCAGUUAAACCGGGACGGAGGGAGUAAAGUUAGUUCGCAGAAUUCCAAGAUCAUCUACAGCUGGUUGUUUAUCAGUUGUUUAUCGGUAAGCACAAUCCUAGGAUGAACUAAUAACCAGAAGCGGAUUUCUUCAAUUUUUCGUAACAAGUCAAAAUCCAACAGCGGAAGUUGUACCAACCUUUGUUUCCAAAUACUUUACAACUUUGACCACUUUAUUUGUUUCCAAAUACUUGGCACUUCACAUUUCCCGAAACAUAGUUUCCUAUUUUGACCCUCACUCAAUGCUAUAAGAAUGUUCUAGAAAUAUUGGGAGAUAACUCUAUAAGCGUAUUUUGGUCAUUUCUUACACAAAAAGUGGAUCACCUUGGUAAUCGUGCAUUGGUAAGAGUUGCCAAGUAUUUAGAAAUGGAGGUUAGUACAAACUAGUCCGUCAACCCGUGCUCCCGCACGGGUUAAUGCUUUUAAAGGCUAUUGUAUUUGAAAAUUAUUUAGAAAUUAAACUUCUAAUUAAUAGUUAAAAAUUUUUACUUCUUAUUCUCUCUUUUUCAAUCCUUCAACAUAAUACUCAUAAAGAUAUCUACUUAUGUAUUUCUAGUUUUGAUUGAUUUUUAAUUAAUAAUUACUCUACACACCAUUUCAUCCACAUCCACACUUUUUUUCAUUUUGUACCGCACCUCCAUAUAUUAUGUUUAGCAUAAAAAUUAAUAUUUUUCAUCACUUCCUCACAUACAUGUAUAAAUGGUCUAUAUGGUGUCACUCAUCAUGUGUGUAUACCUUAACUUAGUAUUUCUAUAUUGGACAUAAUAGGUAAUUUAGAAUCAUCUAUUAGUUUACUUUUGGACAUUUAUGUAUGAUGCACAUGAAGAUAAUUAGAUUAUGAUUUAGGUGCUUACUUUAGAUUUUUUUUAAUAACAACAUAUGUGGGUAACUUAGAUAUAAAUUUAGAAUGACAUUUUAAGUUAUGUUUUAUAAUGAUAUGCAUAAGUAAAUUGGAUGGGAAGACCUCAACAAUUUAGAUAAAGGUUUAGUGUUUGUUUUAGAAUAUUUUUAUAAUGAAAGUGGUGGGUAACUUUUUUUAAAAUAUAAUAGACCAAUGACUAUGAUUGUUAGAGUUUACUGGAUUGUUGUUUCUAAUUUUUGUAAGAAUUUUUUAGGAUUUGUCCUUUUUUCUAGCAUGUCUUGUAGAACUUAGUCUCCAAUGGAAAAAAAAUGAGACCACAUUGCUACAGACUAUUACUUUGAGCUACCUCUCAUUUGUUAAAUAUUCGAACACAAUACUUAUAUAGAUAUAUACUUAUUAUCUUUAUCCAAUUGUGAUAGAUUUUAGUUAGUAAUUACUCUAUAAUAUUUUCAUCCACAUUUAUAAUCUUUAACUUUUCACAUUGCAUCGCAGUUAUGCACUUCAAUUUUUUUAAUAAUGGAUCCUAAGUUUGAGCUAUAAUUUUAACAUAGAAAUCAAUAUUCUCAUUACUUGCUCUAUAUCUUUAUAAAUUGUGACACACAUCAUGCAUAUGUAGCUUAAUAAUUAUAUCAUAUACUAAUAUAUGAUUUAGAACAAUAUAUUGGUCUAUAUUUUUAAUUAAGGUGAUUUGGAUUAAAAUUUAGUUUAUCUCAUGUUAUUUUUAAUAAUAGCAUGUGUGGGUAAUAUAGAUGCACAUUUAUGGGUUACUUUAAGGUAUUUUUAUUUAAGUAUUAGUGGUGGACAAGUUAGUUACAAAUUAAGAAAUAUUUUAAAUUAUUUUUAUAAUGACCUAAGGGUAAUUGUGAUGACGGACCUUGCUAAAGUACACCUCUUACCUCCUGAGAGGUAAGACGUGAAUUAAAUCUGGACCCUUGAUUAUUAAGAAAAAUCCAAUUAAAAAAUAGAAAAAAAACUACUAACCCACUUCUUUCCAACUACCGGUGACAUGUAUGCAUGCAUCCAUCCAGUCUUUAUCUCUUUAAAGUCCCGUCAGCAUGUGUUCAUAGCAUCAUAAACAUUUUAAUUUUUUUCCACAAUUUUUUCUCUACUAUUGUGCAACGGCAUGUAGGUCCCAUGUCUGCCAUGUCUCAUAGUAUGAUUUUUAUUCGUGACAUCUGCACAUGUAUGCUAUUUCUGAUAUUGCUAAAAAUUUAAUCUCAUGUCCAAGCAAUUUCUUGUUACAAUGUUACGCAUGAUAUAAUUGUCACUUCACCUAAAAAUUUGACCUGCCAUGUCUCACUUGAAAUAUGUUGCAUAUAACGCAAUUAUUACUUAUCUAAAGAAAUAAUCUAUUAGAUGUCAAGAAAUAUAUUUGCGUAUGUACAUUGCAACUCACAUGCAACCAUUAGUAUAUUUUUUUAAAAAAAAUAGAUCAAGUACAUACAUGCAUCUGUCACAUAAUGGAAUUAGAUUUGCAUACAUAUUUUUUGAAGUUUUUGUACACAUCACGUUAGGAUAGUUAGAUUAGGGGUUACUCACAUGCAACCAUUAGUAUAUUUUUUUAGAAAAUGAGAUCACGUAUGCACAUGCAUCUGUCAUGUAACAAAUUAGAUUUACAUAAUUAUUUUGAAUUUUUUGUACAUAUCACAUUAAGGUAAGUUAGAUUAGAGGUUACCUUAGUUUAUUUUAUAUAAUGGCAUGAGUGGAUAAUUUAGAGACGGAUUUAGGGGUUACUUUAAGCUAUUUUCAUAAUGACAUAGGUGGGUGAUUUUUUAAAAACAUAAUUGAUCCAAUGGCUAUGAUGAUUUUGAGUCUAUCAAUUGAUGGCCAGAUGUUUUUGCUCUUUUUUGAAAAUUUCUAGGAUUUCUCUCGAGUGUCCACCUAGGAUCCUAUGUGGCUUCUAGAGACUUCAAAGGAAUCUCCUAUUAGUAAUAUUAAGAUUAUGCCCACGUAGCAUCAACGACGAAGGUUAACCUUUCAAAUCGGCAUGAACGGCCGUGAACGAACGUUAUAGUCCACACAUGCUACUGUACCGCAUUGUUGCACCGAGGGAACCAAAGAAAUAAAACGAGGUUAGUACGUACUUCCCGGUGACAUGAUGACCAAGUACCACCACACGCACCAUCAGUCACGUUACUGUGCAUACACGUACGCAUGAACACACCCAAAAAAAAUCAUAAUCAUGUGUGCGUUGCGUUGCAGGCACAUACAUAAAAGUGAGGCCACCGGCCGUGCGGCCCGGCUCGUUAUGGUCCCUGCCGGCCGGUGCCGGUGAUUGUUGUUGUGUCCGUCGCAUGCACAUGGUGACAAAACCAUGAUGUGAUUGCAACUGCGAGCAGCAUGCGAACGCAUAGCAGCAGAGGACCCUCCUGCUGCUGCAUUAUUGAAGCCAGGCCAGGCCCGGCUUGGGGCACGUCGAUCGAGUCCUCGACCGUGGGCGCGCUUGGUUUCGAGCCACGCCACGCCACUGUCCAUGUAGUCCUUUGUGGCGUGGCGCUAGAAAAGAGCGUCACACCCGCCAUACUACGGUGGCCUACAACCAAGCUGUCCAUGUAGUCCUCUCCGGCCGGUGAUCGAGCAAUCACGUAGCCGGUGAUCAUCGAUGCACAAAGUACGUCUUGAUUAGCUUAAGGACGUACUUGCACUGGCGAUUAACUUCGUUUAGGGGGACAAUGAGGAACCAAUGUCCAAUGACGAUGAACUCAUGUUUACAGGUGGUGCCGGACGACGCCGGAGGGGCCCCGGGGGCCGGGGUGUCUGUGGUCACCGGCCGACAGGGAGGUACGGUGGGGGCGCCGGCGCCCCCGGCCGCGUGCCCGUGCGUGUGCGUGAGUUGGCACGGCGGCGACUCGUGGUGCGGAGGCCGUUUUGUACGGUGCUGUCGAUCGACCCGCGACGUAGCAGGUAGCCAGGUAGCGUGGAGUACGUACGUGUGCCCCGAGAAUCGAGAGGGUCAACCGGCUUGUACGCUUCCUGCUCCUGCAGAGACCUGAAGGGCCAGGGCCAUGGCCAGCGAUCCGUCCAUGAACCAUCCAUCUCGGGUCCACCAAGGCUCUUGUAAGGUCUUGAACGAACGUGCAGUAAAAAGAAAAAAAAAAUUCACACCACCUGCCGCUCGUUACUUGUUACUGUAGGGGCGACCGCCCGGUGGAUUAUUGCUUGGCACAACGUCGCUUUUGGCCGAUGGAGCUACAAACCUCUUGCUUGUGGAUACCGACGGCCAUUUCCCACGAGGCCACGAAUAGGUUCUUGUGAUGUUAGCACAGAAAAGGCUAGUUGCGUGCAAAAUGGCACUAGGCCGGGUAUCCAGUAGGCAAGCCGUUUGCAUCAAAGCCAUCGAGCUACCUGGCCGCCCAGCAUUUGCUCCCGGGCAGGGCUACCUGCAGUCCGCAGAGGCUACUAUAUCUACGGCAGUGACCAUGAAGGCAACUCCGCGCCCCGGCUUUCCUCUCUGCCCGGCGCAGCAUCCACGCCGCCCCCGGCCCCGUCGAGGAAGAUCUCCGAUGUCCGAUCCACCCAGACGACGACGACGACGACCCCCACCCCCGCGCUGCCAUCUCGAUCAGACCUCCAACAAGCCACUGCCCUGCAUGGCAGCAUUUAGGGCCUGGGCGCAGGGCGCGGCCAGAGCCCCCAGCGGCGAGGGAGACCUGGGAACGGCAAAGGCCAGCGGCGCACGCAAAGCAAGCGCCCAUGCCCAGGGAACACACAGAGCUACUAGCGCCCCCCCCCCCCCCCCCCCCCCCCCCCCCCCCCCCGCCCACAGUGGCAGGCACUGGCACAGGUGGGAGCUAGCCGCCAGGAUCCCGUCUCCCGCCCGGCGGGCACCAGCCGGCCGGCUGCGGCUGGGGCGCGCGGCGCGCCGCUUGAGGUGGCCGCGAACCACGUAGGAUACUCUUGGUACGUGGUGGUGACCACUGUGCCGCAGCGACCCGGCUACAGUAGAUGGCGAGCGGCGCGCGUCGCGUGCCGGCGUACUCCUUCCGUCCUUUCUAUGUGUCGCUUGGGAAGCGUACGUCCGUGGGCUGUGGGCACGCCGGUGCACGCGCGAUCGAUGGAGGGGACGCUACGUCGUCUGGGCCGUACGGCAGUCACCCCCCGUCGUCGUCAGGUCAGGUGAUGCGACGUGAUAGCGCCUGCGUGUGCUUCCUCUGCUCUCUGUGCUCUCCUCUGAUCGUCGAUCAGUCGAUCACCGCUUUUUAUUUUUAUUUUUUUUGCUUUCUACUGUUGUGCGAAUUUAUGUACCUAAUGUUUUGGCUGCAGGUAGCUGACGGCUAGAUUUCUGCUGGCGAGUUUCUAGUUUAUUUGGAUUCAGAGCCGCCAUUUGUGCUAUCGGUUUCCUUGUUUGCUUUGCAGAUGCAAGGAAACGCGCCGGGUUACUACUCCGGGGCCGGCCGGCGGCCUCGCGGGUGUCCUUCCUGACGACGGCAGCAAGCAGAUUGCGCAGGUGCUGCGACGCUGCGGGCAGGGCAUCUGCCGGGCCGCGAGCUGAGGAGCAUGCAGCAGCGACCACCAGCGGCAACAGCGCACUGCCAAUGGCUGGCCCGGGCUGGUUCGAUCGGUCAGGCCGUCUCAGCUACAUGCGCCGGGCGAGAUGCCGUCAAGCUCUCAUCGCUCUGCGCGUGUUGGGUGUGUGUGCAUGCAAGGGGCCGAUGGAGGUGCAUUUGUACUGAUCAUGCAUAUGAUCGGAGCACCGUUUGGACUUUGGAUGUGCUGCCAACGUGGACACAGCAGUAGUAGUACAGUACCUUAGUACAUACAUCCCAUGGUCCAUGGACACGCGAGCAGGAGAAAUCUCAAGGCACGUGUACUAUCGUACGCUGAGGGGGAGAAGAGGCUGAGGGGCUGAGUGCUGAGCCUGGAGAGGUAGGUCUAGGUGCUCUAGCUAUUUAUGCUAGUGCUACCUACGAGCAGAGCAGAGAAGCUAGGCAUGGUUAGCUAGCUUCCCUCGGUCGGGUUGGCAGGCGCCGCCCCAUGAUGUACCACCAGCCAGGGCCCAGGCGCGCGGGAGAGGUAGUACUGUAGUGGAACCGUAGGACGGCCAUGCGGCCUCCCGGAGGGACGACGACGCUGCUGCUCCACGAACCGCGGCGUGCACGCCGACUCUCCGCGUUGGACGAGGGUUGUGAGGGCACGCACGCCGGGAUAGACAGGGGCUAGCGAUCGGAGGAGCAGGACCGGUGGCCGGUGGUAGCUGCGGCGGUGCGGGUGGGGCCCGCGCGGAUAGCGAUGGUGCGAGCAGGCGCACCGCGACGACGACGACCGGCCCUGCCCCGACUGCGGCUGCAUUGUCAGCCGAGUUUUCGUGCCACGUCCAGAUAUUUACAAGGAGAGAAGGAAGAGUUUUAUCCUAUGUUAGAAGAGUUUCGUUCCCAUGACAUACAGGGAUUGUUAUCUACUCUCUCCGUUCUAAAUUAUAGGUCAUUUCAACUUUCUUAGAGAACCAAACCAUAUUAUGUUUGACCAAAAUUAUGAGGAUUACAAAGUUUUACGGUACCGAAUAGAUGUAUUAUGAAGAUAUAUUUAAUAAAAAAUUUAAUAUUACUUAUUAAUAUUUUAUUGUAUAAAUUUAGUUAGAGAUGUUUCUCGAAAGUUGAAAUGACUUACGAUAUAAAGGAACUGUGCAAUGAAACCAGACUGGCCUAAGGCUGCACCUACGGGGCAGCACGGGGCGGAGGAGCGGACGGACGAUGGUGAGGGAGUAGUCGUCCGUGUUUCGCGGCACGAUGUGGCAGCCAUGCCCAUGCAUGGGGUGCUCUGGCCUGCCCAGUCGCGCCCCUGCUCCUCCUGCUGCCGCAUGCGACCGACGCCACGGGGACCCUUCCCUUCUUCAAUUCUUUCCUCCCUCACCUCACUGCUCACAGUCACUGAGCUCUCUCGCUCGUCGCUCCGCCCGCUAUUGCUACUAGCUGGCUACUAGUUCCUCUCUCCUCCCCGGCCACGCAAGGACGCAGCCGAUACGAACCUGACCCUGACCGGCUCCGUGCUUGCUGCGAGCAGUAGCGGGAGACGCGUAGGGCUAGCUCCUCAAAGCCUCUCUCACACAAUGCAUGCACCCUGGUGCUGCUGUCAGGACUCGAGACCUAGCCCAUCGGCAUGCAGCGGCAGGCCAGGCAGGGGAUCGGACGGACGGACGACAGGUAACGUCGCUGUCGGACAGUCCUGCCGCGCCCCCCGCCGCCCCGCGCGCCGGGCGCGGGUUGCGGUGGGGCCCCUCCUCCCCAGGCCGCGCAGGGGGCCGCACCGGCCGGCCGGCCGGCGUGCGUGCCGGAGCGCUUGUCUCCUUCCGGCUGCUAGUAGUACAGCACAGGCAGCUAGCGGCAGUCGUCGCACGUACGUAACGUACGCGCGCGCGCGUGCACCGCCGCUACGGCCCCCGCCCAUGUACGUACCACUCUCCAAUGUUUUGUGGGGUUAUCGACCCACUGUUCAACUUCAACACGCUCUGCGGAAAGAGAAAGAGAAAGCUUUACUGCCUGUACACGGGAACAGGUUCGCAGCCAAAAUUUUAGCGCGCCAAAAUAUUGGGAAGCUAAUAUUUUGCGUAUCAUUUGGUUUGAUACCAAAAUUUGACAACUUCUCUUUUUUAUCUUCCUAAAAUCUUGACAACUUUUUUCCUAAAUUUUGGCAAGCAAACCGAUCAGCUCUAAAUGCAGCAAAUGUUAAUUGGCAAAUCUGCAGCUCACGGUACUGGAUUAAGAUUGUGUUUGUCAGACUGUGCAAAUGGGUGGACAUGCCUUGCAUCCUAUCAAUGGUGGACUUACCAUUGCGUCGCCUGCCCCGCCGCUCCAUCUCCUCGAGCUUCAUGCGGGCCUCAAGGCGGAGCUGCGCGGUGGACGUCUCACCGGCCACGGCGGUCACGAGGCGCUCAAGGUCACGCACGGCGCAGCGCUGCAUGGGGGACGCGGUCGUCGUCCUCGUCCAUCGCCCCCACCCUCCGCGGCGCUGCCGCGUCCACCUCGCCCCCAUGCUUGCCUGCAGCCCUGUCCUGGAAAUCCUCUCACUCACUUUAAGCAGGUAUCCCAAAGGCUUCUGCCUCCAUGGCAAUAGCCUCUGGUGCUACUCUAAAGCAAUUUGAUUCGAUCUACGUGCGCGAGUGACUUGAGAAUUCAUGGUCAGCAUUCCAUUGCAGGCUUAGACAAAAGGCGAGCUCAAAUUCCAUUGUCCCAAGCAUCAAAAUGAAUUUCGGCAUCUUCACGGAUGUCAAUUUACUUUCUAGCUUCCACGGAUGCUUUUGAUAGUAGACAGGAGAGCCGCGGGUGCUAGCAAAGGAGGAGGGGGCCGCAGACGCUAGCCGCGGCGAUGGGGUCCUCCGCGGUCCGCCGCGGACCCUCACGCACCUCCACGCUCCGCCCUGGGCUGCCGCGCGCCUCCGAAGGCUGCCGCAGGCCUCCGCUCGUCCCGCGCCUCGAAGCUCCGGCGCUGCCGCAGUCCCCGCACGUCGGUUGCCGCUACGGCCUCCGCGCGUUGAAUGAGGUAAAAAAUAAGCGGCUGGUGGUCACCGCAACCAGCGAUUCGAGCCUGCACCGCGUGGAACCAUCAAUCCACGCGAUCGAUUUGUGCGUUCCAUCCGAUGGAAGAUGGCAAGCGGCCUGUUCGCUUCAGCUUAUUCAGUCGGCUUAUCAGCCACCAAACAGUAUUUUUCUCUCACAAUAAAUCAGUCGUUUCAGCUUUUCAGCCAGCUUAUAAGCUGAAGCGAACAUGCCACCUCUUUUGCACCUCAUCAGCCUGGCCUGUGACCUCGUUCACUCUACCAAUGAGGCCAACUUGCACCACUCCAGCCUGCCUGGCCAACCUCCAUGCACCCUACCAAUCGUGCAUAAAGGAAGCAGCUAAGAUAUAUUUUGUACAUAGCGGACGAUGUAGAUACGAUCUUAAUUACUCGCACAUCGAAAUAAAAUGGUUAUAUCUUGUCUGUUAAUUAAUACAAGUUCGGCAAUCUUAGCCGGCACCAAAGCAAUCAUGCACGGCAGGGCAUUGACCCCCGUGCAAUCAUUCGUGUCCAGAUGCUCAUGCGGCCAUGGGAUGGGGGAGGUUCGGAGCCCCUGCUCGAAUGUCCUCCUCGAUUGGACGGUCGACAGCGACGCAACCACGGACGGGCACGGGCGCGGCGACGUUACGAUAUGCAUUGCAUGCAUCCGAUCGGGCCAAGUUACACACACAUGCGCAUGGUUGCGUUGCGUCGUGGCGUUGCCGGAUGAGAGGAGGACCAGCGAGGGCUGCUGCAUGCAGUGUACUGCUCCUACCGUUCGCUCUCAACACGUACGUACGUACGUCGAGAAACCCCGGCCCCGGGCAUGCGAUUUCAAGUAGUAGUGGGGAGAGACGCAUGGUCCUGGUCGGUCCCCAUCCAUCGGUAGCCAUCGCUUUUCUGUCCUCGUCCGGGCCGCUCCGGGGCCACGGGCCUACAUGUACACGCGUGGAACAAACGAGUAUUGAACCGGCUCGGCUGGGGCGGGCCUACGUGUAUGUACGCGCGUGACGUCUACGUCGUCGCUACAUGUACGCGCGCGACGCCCGCAGCGUAUACGGUUGAUGAGGCCAAUCAUCGAGACAGUAACCCCCUUUCUAGUAGUACCUACUGCUUUUUUUCUCGCCGCACGGCUUCGGGCCAUCGUCAAUGUUUUUUUUUUUUGGAGAAAGGAUGCUGACAUGCUGUUAGCCUGUUUUAUGACCUGGAAUGAGGCUUUUAAUUCCUUUUCCUUUUUCUUUACCAAAGGGUUCAUUCCUUGGCCAUCUCCGGAAAAAGACGGUUGGUGGAGGAGUUUUUGUAGGAUUUUGUUUCCUACAUUAAUUUGCAUCAACGAAAUAACGGGAGUCGCGUAACCCACCUUAACCAUUUUUAUAAAAAAAGAAAACAUCUUGCGGUUGAGCUCAAGCUCACUGCAAAGAAGCGAACAAUGAUUUGUUUCUCUAUGCUCGUUUCACGGAGCUUGUCGUAUACAUUUGGUGACACAAAUUUAUUAUAAGGAGAGUGACGAGGCUUUGUGAGAUUUUCUGAAGCAUUUAGUUCGAAGAAGAAAAAAAAAAGAAUCUCAGCAGGAGAGCGAGAGCCUGAGGUGCCUACUGAUUUUGGAGGUGUUAGAAAGAAAAAAAAAAGAAAACCUAACCUUGUGGUAGAAACAUUUUCGAUAUAAAAUGCAAGCCAGGUUGGUUGACAAGCGGUCAUUUUCUUAUUGUUAGAAAAAGUUGAGCGAUGACCGAUGAAGCAGGAGCGAAGGACAGCAUGAGAUGGGAGUGAUGGACGGAACUACGGAAGGCAGUGUCCGGGCGGGCGGGGGUCCGGGCGGGCGCAGGGACCACCCAUGGGCGCAUGGGCAUGGGUGGGACUUUGGGCUUGGGAUUGGGAGCACGGAGCACCACUGGUCGGGUCAAUUACAAAGGCGAUCGAUGGAACGACCGAGCGAGCUCCCGAGAGGAAAAAGGAAGUGCUAGCUUGGUGGUGUGUUUUGUUGGUCCUGCUGGUCCCCCAGCAAGGCAGCGGUGGUGGGACUCGUUCGUGGCGGUGGCACGUACUGCCACCGGGCCCAAUCAUGCGGUGUGGCGCAGGCCGUGCCAUGCCAUGGCACACUCUCCCUGUACGUUGCCGCUGCGACGCAUAUGCCCCAGCUACCACCCCCUGGCCUGCAGCACUGCACACCCCUCUCUCCUCCUGUGCCGCUGUGCGUGUCCAUGCUCGUGUGCCCCAUGCGCGCGUGACGUACGUUGCGCGGGGCGGGGGCGGUGCACGGCACGAUCGCGGCCCACGGACGCUGACUCUUCUUUCCCUCCACUCUCGUCGCCCAUGCCUGUCGUCUCUCUGUCACGUAUCAUCAAAUCAGGUCAGAGGAGACGAGGAGUGCUCUGCUCUCACUGCUCUUGUGUGGCGUCGCAGGGGACGCUCUGCAGCUGCAGAGGUGGUCGCGGCCUGCAGGCCCAACUGGCUGGCUCGGCGCCUCGGCCCCCUCCUCCUCUCUGGGACGCGUCCCAUCCGGGGCAGGAAAACCGCCCUUCCGGCUUUCAAUGCUCCACGCGCCGGGCGCCGUCCUUGUUCCGGGCCUCCGCCACCACCUCCACGCUACCCGCAGCCGCGUGUGCUCUUGUUAGAGGGAGGCCCGGCAAAAGCCGUCGCCGCCCCCGCCGGCCGGGGCCCCAGGCCUUGCUUUGCUUUGAUACCCUCUGCCCUGCCCCGGAGAGGAUCAGGAUCCCUGUCUGUCCCACAGUGCAAGCUCGGCAUGUUUCAAGGAUUGCUAGGAUGUGAGGUGAAGGUAGCAUGGUCUGGUCUCUAUGCCUGCAUUUGAGCACAGGAGGUGAAGGGCCCGUUCCCUCUGGUCAUUUCACCCACUCGGUGUCUCGGUCACAGCCCAAAGAUGACAACAAAAGCCGGAUACGUCUGCCACCCGCGACCAAAUCAUCGCUUACGGGCAGUGAGUGCGAUACUGCAAAUCCUGUGCCACGGGUCGCUUUGCAACAGCACUUGUCACCGGGAUCAUUCAUUUCACGGCAGGCCAAGGCACGAAAUAGUGGAGGCAAAUCCAUCUGGUGUCAUGCGGGACGGGGCCGUAACUCAAGAGCAGCCCCAGCUACUGGGGAGGAGCCUCAUCCAAGCAUCACCGGGCAGCAACGGCACCGAAGGGCGAAAAGGGUGGCAACACUUUUGCAUUCACAAGUCCAAUCAAUUACCCAACCAAAACUCGGAACGCCACGCCUCGGUGCAGGCCUUCCUCUAUCACCUUGCCUCGAUGCAAGAUCCGAGUCCAAAUCACUCACACACAGACACAGGCUCCGCGCAUGGGUCGCCAGGACAAAACACAGCCGAAUGCAACGUAGAUGCUCAAGGUCUCUGGAAACGGGCCGUGGCCCAGCACGCAAGCGAAGCAUCAUGCUACAAGUUCAGGGUUUCAACAGACUGAAACAAGCUUCCAACACCGAGCGUACACGGGACAGGGGUUCUUCGCGUCAGAUGACACUAGCAGCACACACUAUCAGUAAGCUGGACACACACUUUCUAGCAAUACAACACUGCCCCGAAGGGCUAACUAAGUUCAAUAAGUUUGGUCCAGCAAACAGAGCCAGUACAAUGUAGGCACGGACUGACUGCAUCCAUCCAAUAGAUGCAAACCAGAUGAUGCGCAAUCAGUCACUGCGGGCAGGUGACUCGGCGGACCUGGAGCGGGAUCCAGGAGGUGAGCCUGAGUACUCCUUGGGAGACCUCCGAUGCGGAGGGGAUCCAUCGCUGUCAGGUGGGGGCGACCUCCUGUGAACACAGACGCUAUUGUUAGGGAUUUUUAAGAGCUUUCACUACAGGACUAGAGCAGGAUGGCUGGUAAUCUCGAUUUCUAUGGACAGACGAAGGCUGGUUUAUGCGGUAGUGAUGAAGAACUAACUUCUCAUAACCAUUUUCAGCAUCAUCUCUACUGGCAGGGGAAUAGGAUCUCCGCUUCUUAUCUUCAUCAAGCUCCUUUGGCGGGCGCCUGGGAGGAGACACGCGAUGUGCCUCCUUUCUCCUUGGAGAAGCAGAGUAGUCAUCUCGGCGUCUUGGAGCAGGGGAGUACGAUCUGAUUUUAAAAGAAAGAUAAGUAAACAAAAACAAGAAUGAUAAGUAAAAAGAAAGAAAGAUAAGUAAACACAAAAAUAAGGAGUUAAGGUUUCAUGGAUCAAAGUCGGGCUUUUAGAGAAGCCUUUAUGUCAGCUGAGCAUACCUUGACCGAGGGCGACCCCGGUAGCGAGGAGAGCGGGAACGGGAACGAGACCGCCCUAUAUGAAAGAUGAGAGACUAUCAGUAAUUUGGUACUUCAAAAGGAAUUUGCAGACUUGAAUUUUCACAAAAGUUCAUCGCAAACUGAAGACAAUCCUGAGAUGCUAUUCUCAGAUUUAAAAGGUAUUUAAGCUUAUGCAUGCAUGGUGGAAAAAAAAACUGAGCUCAUACAUCAUCAUAAGCAGCAAUGGAUCUAGAAAUUUAUGGGUAGGAUGCAAACAUAUUGGUCCUCUGGUUUACAGUGAUGUUUGAUAGGCACUUGGUAGUGGUCAUGAUUGUACCAGAAGAGUAACGAGCAAAAUAUAUAAACGAUAUGAUGCUAUAUUAAUGAGAUGCACAAAAAAAGGUGUAAGAUGGGUAAAUAAAACCAAUAUUGUCCCAACCAAUCAUGCCCCUCUUUUGAAAGAGAGUAAAUCCUUUUUUUUACGUAAAAGAGGGCUAAUCCUACCAGAAUAAAAAACUUAAAAGGCAUAAAGAGGCUUCACAGUAAGUCCUUAAAAUUCUACCUAAUUACAAAACUUCCAACUUGAGAUGAUAACCAAUGCCUCAAGAUACAAGGAAUAAAUUUUUAACUUUGGGGCAACACAACCCCCUUCUACAGCUGCCACUGAUCAAUGACACAACAGAUAUGGUGCAAUCUUCCUCACAUAAUUGAAUAGAAUGAGAGGAUCCAGGAUUAUGUACAGCUUGAAAGUCACAGGAUCAUGAAUGAUACAAAACUAGCACAGCAAUGCAAGAAAUUACCAUAAUAAGAAGAGCGGCGACCUUCAUGACCAGAGUAGCCCCUGACAGAAAUCAGUCAUUAAAAUGAGAACAUAAAUAGGAAAUGAGGAAGAAAAUUAACUGCAAUAAAAGAAAACCACACCUGACUCUAGCCCUGCUACGCAUUUCUUCUGGCCUUUUUCGUGACUCAGCAGCAAGAACAACAGUUAUCUCCCGACCGAAGAAAACCUGGCGAUUCAUGUGAUACUGGGCCUCAGAGGCAUCAUAAGGGUCAACAAACUCCACAAAUGCAAAUCCUCGAGGCUCCCUGCAUACAUUGAUUUUAUUAGACAGUAGGAUAAGGGAAAUUCAUGAAAAUGACAAACAAAUAUGAGGGGGUGCAAAGUGUUCACAAUGGUGUCUUCCGGCCGUGUUACCAUCAAAAAUUUAGUGUGCCCUCUAUGGUUUUCAGUGAAGCACGGUCAAUAACUUACUAACAAUUCCAUCAAAAGGGAAGCACGUGUUGCAAAAAGCAGUUAGACGUCCAGGCUCUAGUGUCCAAAAUUCUUGUAUACAACUACAUAUGGUGAUCCUCAUAAAGAGCAUCUUCAUAAAAUCAUUCUCUUCAAGUUCCCCAAUGUUUGAAAAGUCACAAAAGUACUUGAAAUCAACUUGACUUGCUUUUAUCUUCUCAUAUGUACCCAGCCAGUACAUAUCUCUUAUCUUCACUUCAGGAAAUUAAUUUUCUCAAUGUAUCAAAUCUUGUCUUCAUAGAAGAACUUCAUCGGACAAGACUCUAUCUUGCCAAGCAAAUCAAUUGUUAGUAAGGCUAAAAGGCAUUCUUUGAUAAAAGAGGAGCUUGUAUUUACUUCAAGGUUCAAACCAACACAACCCUGGGAAUCAUUUGGGGGAAAAAAGGUAAUUCACACAGGGCAAGGAUGAAUGGAUACACAGGAUAAAUUUAUGCAUUAUAUUUGAUAUAUAAUGACCGAUGGCAUACAUCAGCAGAAAAAAGAAAAAUAACAGGAGCAUUUCACAUCGCACCAAAAUAUUGGAAAGUUGACAAUGCACUGGGCCUUGAGGAUGCUCAAGUGUUCACUUUAUUAAAUAUAGGUUAUUUAUUGGUCUAAGUCAUGCCCCUAGAAAAUAGUUUCUAUGUUCAUGCAGCCCAAAAAGUAGGAAAGGCGUCCAGCUAUUUUCAGUUCCAAUCAUUGCAGAAACAAGACCACUUCAAGAUUAGAUAUUUAUAGCACUUACCCACUAUAAUAAUCCUUUGGAAUGUAGACAUCCCGGACAGGACCAAACCUUUCAAAAGGAACUCGAAGAUCCUCCGCUCUGUAAAAGUUUUAGAAACAAACUGAAAUCAACUACUCGUGAAAAGAAUUGUAUUGGUAUCUCCUUUUAUCUUGAAAUCAGUUAAACAAUGGAAAUCAGUUAUUAUUUUAAGGGGAAUAGGAAAUCAGUACAUGCUAAAUCACAUGCAAAGUUUCUGUACCUGACACUUAAUGGAAUAUUGCGGACCAAAAGACUCCCAGAACCCUCCUUCCGCCCUCCUCCAUAUCCCCUCCUAGGAGGGGGGCUUCUUCCUCUGCCACCAUAUCCCCUCCUAGGGGGACUGCGAUACGGGGGGCUGUACCUCCUCAUAGUUGUCUGCAGUUGAACAAAAGUAUAACGAAUUAUUAACAACUUGAUAAGUUGACAUGACGACCAAUUGAGGAGAAUCAUAGACUUAUCUACGUUUCAUUUAAAGUGUCGCGUGCUACAAAAGCAUGUGUGACCCUGCAGGGUUCACCAGUUAGUCGGUUUCUGACUCAGGUGCCAGGGUCGGAUUUGGCAAGUAUUUAGAACACGAGAAAAGUGGAAUCCAACACUGGUGAUGGGUGUCUACCUCAGCAAAAAACAUGUGUGUCCAGGUAACACUGGCAUUCAGACCACCAACAUAUAAACUGUUCACUACCACUCAACCUUUGAGCAAUAGCCACUCAAACAAGUUUGAUGCACAAUUCAUCAGAUGUGAAUAAUAGAUUCGUACAGCUCUGCUAAUUCAUAGGUGACGUGGAAUAGAAAAGAUCAGCCGAAUCCUAGGUCACAAAAUGAGCCAAGCAGCUGACCGUUAUUUCCGUAGAAAUUGACAUGCAUGCUUAUUGCUUCUUUCGGUGGAAACGGAACCAAAAUUAACUAAUGGAGGUGCGGUGUUUUCUUUUUACUUCUAUAAAAACCAAGGUUGUGGAUUAGGGCAUCUGUGCAAUGAUUUGUGUCUAACAUGCGUGUGGCUAACAACGCAUAGAUGCCUUUCCAUCUUGUACUGUGUAAAUCAACCAUUACAACCUAGAACUUGAUAUUUAUUGGAAGUCCGUUGCACCGCACAUGCAAACUACUAGCCAUUAUUAAGGUAUAUAGUUCCAGUUCAGAAUAAUUAAAAGAAUAGAGCCCUACAGAUACAAAACACAAUCCAACAAUCCUCACGCACUGCCCAAGACAACACAAGCGGCCACAGCCCGCACGCUCCUCAAGGCAUUAACGCAUCUACAAGGCUAAAGCUCCGCAGAGUAACCCGAGAACGUCGCCGCGCGGGCUCGACCCGUCCCGGCGGGAAUCGAGAUCUAAGUAAGACACCCAGCAGCGAACCAUCACGGUACGCCAUCGCGCACCUAGUAGACGGCUCCUCGCGGAGGAGCUGGUGGAAAAAACCGCUGAGCCCUGCGCGGAUCUAAGCUGAAAGAGCGAGCCUACCGCUGCGCGGCGCACCUAGGGUUCGCGGUGGAGAAACGCCGCACGAGCGCGCUCGGUUACGGACGACGGUAAGCGUGCGGAGAGAGGAGAGGGACGGCGAAGGGGGUUGAGCGGUUACCAGGUGCGUCCGGUGAGAGCCGGGGAGCCGCCGCCGCGGCGGCGGAGAACGAGAGCGAGAGCCGAGAGGUGGUGGGCGCAAGCGAUGUCGCGCGAUGCGAGUGGAGGAAGAGGAAAGCUCGGAGCGCGACGUGGAGGGAGAGGAGAAAGAGAGGGGGUAGGCUAUGGGCCGGGCCUUUUUGACGAGAGAGCGCUAUACUUGAAGCUUGGCUAUGGGCUAGGCCUCUUUGACGGCAGGCUAUGGGCCGGAGCCCACUCCAAGCUAAAAAUGGGCUUCGAAUUUUUUUUUAAAAAAAAUGCGCGCGCGCACAAAAAAGAUCCUAGUCGCAGAAAAAAAAGACGCUAUGACGCUUAAUUUGAACCAUGUUUUCUGUAAAAAAACUAAACAAACGCGAAAUUAUGUUAUGGAAUUGUGUUCUUAUUUUCAAAAAUUAGGUACUUAUAGAUAUGUAUGCAUACUCUGCAACUGUACCCUACCCUAUGAGUGUAUACGAGAUUUUUUUUAAUCACACGGUACAAACGCAGACACUCACAUACACGCACGCACACUCGCGCCUACAAACACAUGCACGCAACCCUACCCUAUGAGCACCUCCGAAAGACUGACCCUGCAAAGUCUCGAGAUUGACGAAGUCGCCACUGGCGCUUUGCUGUCGACGGACACGUCACCUACCAUUGAAAGAAUAGCGCCGGUUAAAUCCUAAAAUAAAUCUAGAAAAAUCCGAAUACAAGUGCCGAGUCGAUGACUUGAACAUUAGUGUGCAGAUUGCACCACAAGCAACCUUAUUACCAGUUGAGCUACACUCAAUUUAUUACAGCAUAUACGAGAAAUUGAACACGCAAAUCUUGAACUUAAUAAAAUCACCUCAGGUAAAUCUAUUAUGUCAUAAAUGAGAGCCGCCGUGUUGAGUUGUGGACUGUUUGACUUGGGCAUGCCGUGGUCAGUGACACAAAAAAAAUAUCAGUUCUCCGGCCAAAAUUAAGCCUCAAAAAAUCUCUUUUCUUAACUUGCCACGUAAGGGCAUCAAGCUGACUAGCUGAGCAACGUCUAAAUUAACACCCUCGAACGUCGCCUUGAUCUUCAUCCAAACAGGCAUACAGCGUAUACACGUUGCUCCCAACUCACCGCAGUGUGCUCCGAUAGAGUAGCUAUUAGCUGAAGUGUGUGUUUGGUUGGUGGUUACAUAAAUGACACGGUGGGUUUAUCCUUCUUAGUAAAAAAAUAAUGUUAAGCGGGAUGGCUUCAUUCUAGAUGACGGUAUAAUUCAUCCAAUCAAAUAAAGAGAGUCAUUAUCUACUUGAAGCAUUUCAUACAAAAAUUAAAUAAUACAUAUUCCAUCCAUUUCAAAUUGUAGGUUAUUUUGACUUUUCUAGAUUCAUAAAUAUUAUUAUGCACUUAGACAUACGCUAUAUCUAAAUGCACCUAAAAGCUAAAACGAUAUGUAAUUAUAUCUAAAUGCACCUAAAAGCUAAAACGAUAUGUAAUUUGGAACGGAGAGACUGUAAUUUGGAACGGAGAGAGUACAACCAAACGCAUAACACACCGGAUCGCCGAGGGUACGAUGGAGGCCCCAUCCAUGUACGUGCAGGAGACUGAACACUUCGUUUAUUCGUAACACAUCACCUCCAGGCCGGAUGGGCCGACGGCGGCGACGCCGGCCGGGCGGUCGUCAGUGGGGGCAGUGGUCCUUGUACGUGCAACCCCGGGUGUAGGACCCUCCUCCCUGGGCGGCGCACUGGUUGCCGCUCUGGCAUCCCGGCCUGUCCUUCUCGAGGGCACCGUAACCGAUGCUGCCGCCGCCGUCGCCCGCCCCCAGCCUCAUCAGGCCGCGCAACUCCGGCUCCGGUGCCACCUCGUCCUCCAGGAGCUGGUCGUAGCGCCGCUUGUCGUUAGCACGAGCACCGGCCGCGACGCUGCCGCCGCCGGCCCUUAGCCCGGCGCCGCGGCGGAUGAUGACCAUCCUGGCACCGCUGUGCUGGCCGCUGGCAGUGGCCGGCCCGGCGGAUGCGGCGAGGAGGAGGAAGAGGACGGCGGCCAGGGGUAAGCUGGUAGCUGCCAUCGCGCAACUACCGAAUCGGUUUCUCUCUGGUCAGGAUGGUCAGUCACCUAUCGGCUUCCUGGCUACUAGCUUAGGUAUUUUGUAGCUGGGCAAAGCUGAAGAAGUAUGCAGUGCGCAAUCAUCUGGGGACAAAAUUCCUUAAAGUUAACGGGAAUGUGUAGGCACGCACUUCGUACAGAGUACAAAUCAUAAAGGAUUAAAAUGGGUUGAAAGUUGAAACAUGGUGGGCGUCCCAAUUUAGGUGCACGCCUGAACUCCAUCUCGAACGUCCUAUUCCAAAAAGAAAAAUUGAAGAAUAGAAGGGAGAUAACAGUAUCUGACGGAUCUAAAGAGUUAAAGACCACCCCAAUCUGCUUGUCCCUCCGCAACUCACGGGACGCGUGGCGGCACGGGAGGACGCGAGAGAAGCCUUGCCGCUGCGGGAGGAGAUGGGGUGCUGGUAGGUGAGCCGUGUGUCGUCCGUGGAUGGAGUGCCCUGCUGUCGAUUGAUCCGAGCCGGACCCUCCUCCCGCCGUCGGAAUAGCGCGCGUGGCGCCUGGUAUUUUUCGCAAAUAUGUCACUAUGCUCGAGUUUGAUAGAUUUCACAUGGACUACAGAUUGAAUGAAGUGAAUCCAUUCACUUGCUAUGGCAGGCUAAGCGAUCAGAUAGAUGUUGAUUUUUACUCGACAGUUGAAGGAUCUAGGCUAAAGUUCAUAGCUGACCACCAAAAAGAGCUGAGAUACGAGUCUGUUCAGGGAAUAGCCGAUGCGAUUGAUAAGGGUUUUACCGAUGCGGAUUCUGUUGGCGGUAGAGUUGUUGUGCCUGCCAGUUUUACUGGCGGGAGAAGGUAUCAUGUGAUGAACUACCAGGAUGCAAUGGCCAUAUGCGGAGUCUUUGGCGCUCCUGAUCUUUUUGUAACCUUUACAUGCAACACUAAGUGGAAAGAAAUUGCGGAUGCUCUGCGAUAUGAGCCAGGCCAACAGCCUUCUGAUCGAUCUGAUUUGAUUGUAUGAUUUUUCCAUAUGAAGGUCGACGAAUUCAUGGAUGAUAUCAGGGAGGGUAAGCUGUUUGGUGAGACAUAGUAUAGGAUAACAGUGCAUGUUGCUGUUCUUUCUUUGUUGUUAGUAUGUCUCAUCUGUGCUAUUGCUUGUGCAGUUUUGUACACUGUAGAGUUCCAAAAACGUGGCUUGCCCCAUAUACACUGCCUUGUGUGGUUGGCCGAUGCACGUUCAGAGUUUAGUGCGUCCACUAUUGAUGGUUUUAUCUGUGCUGAAAUCCCAGACAUAAACGUUGACCCGCUAGGUUAUGCUUUGGUCGAUGAGUUUAUGAUGCACGGCCCAUGUGGUGAUGCCAACAAAAAAUGCCCGUGCAUGAAAGAAAACAAGUGUUCCAAGAAUUUUCCUAAAUCAUUCCAGGAUGAAACAAUCGUAGACGACUUCGGUUUUACUAUCUACAGACGUAGGAACGAUGGUAGGCAUUUUGUCAAGAAUGUCAGGCUAGAUAACAGAAACGUUGUUCCAUAUAACAUGAAGAUUCUUAAAAAAGUACAUCAAUGUUGACUGGUGUAAUAAAUCCAACAUGAUCAAACACCUGUUUAAAUACGUUACAAAGGGAAGGGAUAGAGCAAAGAUUUACUUUGAGGUUACUGCAAAGACAUCUAAUGCAUCUGCUGGACCUCAGAUGGCUCCACGGAAUGAAAUCCAAGAAUACAUUGAUGCUAGGUUUCUAUCUUCCUGCGAGGCUCUAUGGCGUGCAUUUGAAUUUGAUAUUCACUAUAGAAUGCCUCCAGUAGAGCGAUUGUGUGCUCAUCUUCCAGGGAUGAAUCAUGUGCGAUAUGAGCCGUAGAGGCGUUGCUUGCUAGCCCAGCAGCAAAAAGCACUAUGCUGACUGCAUGGUUCCAUGCGAAUGCGAAACACGAGGAUGCUAGGCACUUGACAUACUGCCAUUUUCCAAAAAAAUGGACUUGGGCCGCUUCUGACCGCUGCUGGCAGAAAAGGGUGCCUUGCGCUAAGAUUGGACGGAUGUACUAUGUGCAUCCAAUUGCUGGCGAGCUUUAUUACCUGCGCAUGCUAUUGAUGAUCGUUAAAGGUGCAACGAACUAUGCUGAUGUGAGAACUUUCAACAAUAGGGUGUACAAAACGUUUCGAGAUGCAUGUGAGGCAAGAGGUUUGCUUGAGAGUGAUGAUGAAUGGAACCUUCUGUUUGAUGAGGCCAUAGUGUCUGCAUCAUCACAUCAGCUUAGACAUCUAUUUGUCACCGUCGUGCUUUUCUGUUCUGUAAGUGAUGUCCGUGCUUUGUUUGAUAAGUACUGGCUUUACUUUACAGAUGACAUACACAAAGGGCUAAGAAAUGCACUUGGGAACCCACACUACAUUGACCGGUUCAGGCAGUGCAUAAAGGAAGGAAAUGUCUACAACUUCUUCUAUUUCCGAGUCAAGAACUCCAGUGACAACUACAAACCAGUUGAAAAUGAUAACAUGCUUAUAUUUUCACAAUGGACAAAGAUAGAGGAGGGUUGUUAACGUGCCCCCUGCUUUCCCGGUCUAUGCCUAUUCCAUUGCUACCAUGGAGCAGUUACAAGCACGUCUGGACAGUAAGGUUCUCUUCACAGGUCAUAAACAUUCUUACUACCUUACAAGUGUGCUUAGAACUGUCAGACAAUAGCUUAUGCGCUGUUAUUCCUUAAAAUAGAUGUGAUUGGGGUGAUCACUUCUGUUUCAAAUGCUGGGACAAUGCGAGCAAAAGUAAGGCCGGGUGAGAGCUUGAAGAGGGCCAUAACUAUACGCCUCCCAAGGUUAGCUGUGUAUAGUUGCCAUCCAUAAUGUUCUUUAUGCCUAUAACUGUUUGCUAGACUGCACACUAAAAUUUGCUUUCACUUGUGUUACAGUGGUACUCUGUUGGAUGUUAUGCUCUGGUCAGAGCGGGCCACUUCGUUCCCAGCCGAGGACGUACACAGGGAUGGGCAGACUUCUCCACAGGUGGUGAUCUUUGUUGGUACUCUUGUCAAAAGCUUCGGAUGUAUGUCGCUAUCUGGUGGUUCAUCAUGCAAGUGGUACAUGAACCCUGACGUCCCUGAGGCAAAGAAACUUAUGGCCAGGUAACAGGUCCAUCUAAGAAUUAGCUGACUGCAUGCGCUGUACCUUUCUGAUCUUUGUACUCUUUCUAAGAAAAAUGACCUCUUCUCCCUUUCCUGGACAGUGCAAAGACUAUGCAAGGUACUGUUCUUAUUGCAGCAUAUCAUGCAUGUGAUGCACCACUGAUAGGCUGAUCCUUACCUAUGUUUGCUUCUCUGCAGAAAAAUGAGUUUUUGGUUACAGUGACAGUAAAAAAGAUUGACAAUUUAUGGUGGUACAAUGCAUGAAAAAAAUGUAUGAAGACAGCUAAGCGUCAUGGUGAUUCAUACAAGUGCACUAAUCCUAGCUGUGGCACCAUUGGAAUGCCCGCUCAGAGGUCACUCGCUAACUGUUGCUGUUGAUUUCUUCCUCAGCAUAUGGUUUUUGUUGUAUUUUCUAAACCAUAAAUUCAUGUAGGUUCAAGUUAUCCAUACUUGCCGGAGAUGAGACGGGUGACACGGAUUUCAUUCUGUUUGGACGGCAAGCUCAGCGACUCACAAAAAAGGCAGCUGAUACCCUUGUUGCUGAUAACCCAAGUAAUUUUAUCCCGGAUGAGAUUACCAGGCUUCUUGAGAAGACUUUCAUAUGGAGUGUCAGCUUUACAGAUAAGAUAGCACAACAGACUCAGGCAAUAUUACCUUUCAAGUUAAUGCAGUGGUGGGAGAAAUCAAUGAUGGAGUGCUGUUAUUCCAGCAACACCAGAGGGAUCACAGACAUCAUCUCUCAUGCUCUCAAGAGGUGCAGGCACCAGCAUGCAGAACACUCCUCAAGGAAGUCAUGUACUGCCUCUAUCCUCCAUGCCUGCUACUUCGGAAGCAAGCCUCGCCUCAAGCACCACACCAACAAAAACAGCUUGGCCUGUUUUGGAGCCACCAGAGACCCCACAGAGUGUAAGGGCCAGUGCUCAUGAUCAGGUAUUACUCCUUGUUGUUCCAGUUAUACCUAGGCAUUGCAUGUUAGGUGCAGCUAUGGUGUGUGGAUAGAUUCCAAUCUGUAGUGUCGCAUUUAUGUUCGCAUCAUUAUUGAACUAGGUACUCAAGACAUCACUGAGUUACACGUCAGAGUAUGUAGGAACUAAUUAUUCCUGCUAAAGAGUUGGCUUCUGUACAAUUAAUUCCUGCUUGUGGUGUUUCUUUCCGCAGGACAAAACUUUAGCUUCACCUGCAGAUCCACCUGUUGGUUCUUCUACAAAGACACAGAAAGCACCACAAAGGAUCGGAAAGGUUACUCCCGCCGGCAACCUAUUUUACUGUUUCUUUAACUUGGUUACUAAGCACGGGACUUAUGUCUGAAAUUACAGGCCUCGCCCAUCCCCUAACAAAAAAAUUGCUAAGAAGCUAUUCACUGGUGGAGAGCCUGCAGAUGACAGUGCUGAAAGUGACAGCGGCGCAGCCACCGCUGAUCAGGAGAGGUAACUCCAUGCGGCAUUUUACCUUCCUUGCACAGCAUCCAGUUGUAGCUCAUGUUCAGGAUAGCACAUCAUUUGAUUAUUACUGUUACAUCUUCAAGUGACAUGCUACAAAAAAAUUAUUAUCCUUUUGCAGCCCGAGCAAGGAUGCAUGAGCAGUGGAGCUCAUGCCCAUUUUGCGUCUACCAGUUGCAGCCAUCUUUUGUUUGUGCUUCGUCAGCCAGCUUUUGUUUGUGUUUCGUGUCCAGUAAAAAGUCUGAUGCAUGAGUUUCAGCAUCUGCAUAGACUUGUGGCUGCAAACUGUGUAGCAUAGCCAUUAGAUGUUGUUUCCAGUGCCGAUCUCGAUUAGUAUUCGAAGCUACCAACUAAGCUGUUUGGUAGCUGUGGAUACUGAUUGUGGCAUGUCGAUCUUGCUGCUUGGAUGUGCUGUGUUAUCGCUGUUCAUAAUAUCGGACAGACACCUUGAUGCGUUGGGUAGGACAGACUGGUGCUCAGAUGUGUUGUAAUAUUAAUCUUCCAGAUGUCGAACAGACACCUUUGGUGUUUGGAUGUGCUGUAAUGUUUAUGUUCCAUAUGCCGGACAGACAUCUCAUUCAUAGGGUAGAUUGGUGCCCUGGUGUUUGGAUGUGCUGUAAUGUUCAUGUUCCAUAUGCCGGACAGAUAUCUCAUUCAUAGGGUAGAUUGGUGCCCGGAUGUGCUGUAAUAUUCAUGUUCCAAAUGCCGGAUGUACACCUCAGAUUGAUAGGAUAUGUUGAUCCUGGAACUAUCGAUGAUGUGUGCUCGGAUGUGCUGUAUUAUUUAUGAUCCAAAUGCCAGACAGACAUCUUUAAUGAAUUUGUUAGCACAUGCUGUGAUUUCGUUCUCAGUUUCAUGUAUCGGUUGUUUGUUAGUUUUCAUUGUCUUAUAAUAACUUGUAUUUGAUUGAUUACCCGAUAGGGCGCGUAACGCGGGCCGAAUGUUCUAGUCCCAAUCGGCAGCGAGUCGCUGACGCUAGACUUGGAGGCUGGAGACCGGACCAGGGGCGGCGCCUGGAUCAUGUCCUGGCCGCGCAGCCGUUCGCCGGGCAGCCGGGGCGCGGGUGCCUAGCGAGGUUGCGAGCGGGCGGGCGCCAGGUAUCUGGCGGUGCACGCCCGAGUCUCGAGACAUGCAGCUAGUAGCUUACUUCAUCAGCCACGCCUACCUGACGACAAAGGCCAUCUUCGGUGGUCAUCAGUGGCGGUGGCGCAGGCCGAGUGGAGUGGAUGGUGCUCAUUGCACCACAGUACCGUUGAAGAAUCUGCGGGCUGCACUUGAACUACCAAGGCCACUCGUGCGACCAAAAGGGGGAAAACGUUGGUAUGCUGCCUAGCACUAGCAGCAUAGCUUCACUACAGUGCGGAUGCUUUAUUCUUAACAAAAAAGAAACUAAGUUAACUAAACUUUAAUUACGCAGUCGUUCAGUGAUAAGUUGAUAAUUAAGCUGACAGGCCAGUGGCCAGUAGCUGGGCACUCAGACAAUCAUCAGAGUUUGAGUUUCACACCCGUUUUAUUCAUGCAACUGCAGCACACACUCUUACACGAACGCACUCUCAGCUCGACGCCAUCGGUCGUCAUCUCCCCGGCCGGCCGCCGCUCGUGGGUCGUGGCAUACACGCGCGCCGGCCGGUCACCCGCGGCAUUGCUCCCUGUACGUGCACGGCCGGGUGUAGGGCGCUCCCUUGCCGGCGCAUCGGUCGCCGCACGCCGCCCUGUCCUUUUCCAGCGCCUCGUAGGAGAUCUGGCCCUGGCCCGCCCCCAGCGCCGCCAGCAGGCCGCCGCCGCCGAACUCCGGCGCCACCUCGUCCUCCAGUCGCCGGCCGUGCCACUUGCUGCUACGAUCAAGGGAGCCCGCGGCGGCGACCCUUGUCCCGGGGGCGCGGAUGACGAUGGCCAUCCUGCCGCCGCCGUGCUUGUCAGCGGCGGCCGGACCGGCCGACGCGGCGAGCAGGAGGGCGGUGGCAAGGAGGAGGAGGACCGCGAGGGGCGGGCUCGCCGGCAUUGUGCACAGGUUUAAUGGUCCGUUUCGCUGAGGCCGGGCGCAUCUUAUAGACACAAGCCGAAGGGAAGCACGGCAGCAUCAUCUGGCCCCUUAAUUAAGUGUUUGACGUUUAGUCGACCUAAAAUUCAUGGCACGUCGAAUAUUCGGGAACCGAUUAGAAUAACUAAACAUUAGCUAGUUAUAAAACUAAUUACACAUAUGGAGAGAUGGAGGUUAAUUUACGAGACGAAUCUAUUAAGUCUAAUUAAUUCAUCAUUUGUACAUAUUUACUGUAGCAUCACAUUGUCAAAUCAUGGACUAAUUAGACUUAAUAGAUUCGUAUCGCAAAUUAGUCUCCAUCUAUGCAAUUGGUUUUAUAAUUAAUCUAUAUUUAAUACUCCUAGUAUUUAAACAUUCGACGACAUGAAUUUUAAGAAGGAUAUAAGAAAGACCUUAGUUUGUGCGUUAAUGGGGCCAACCCAAAAGCUAAUGACAGUGGAUUAAACUUUAAAAUAAGUUCAUUGCAUUGAGCAGCACGAGCGCACACCAAAGCACGCCUUAAGUGCCUAGUGCCUGCAGUUGCACUAGUGAUGUCCUAGGAUUACGCACGUAGUUAGUGAUCCUAAUUAUGCUGUCAUCAGUAGUAAGCCUGGCAGGGCAGUGAGUGACAAGGAUUGCAAGUGCGUCACCGCCUUUUUUAGGGGUGUUUGGGAGACAGGGGCUAAACUUUAGUCAUGUCACGUCACACAUUCGGAUGCUAAUUAGGAGGACUAAAUAUGAGCUAAUUAUAAAACUAAUAGCAGAACCCCUAGGCUAAAUCGCGAGACGAAUCUAUUAAGCCUAAUUAAUCCAUCAUUAGUGAAUGGUUACUGUAGCACCACAUUGUCAAAUCAUGAACUAAUUAGGCUUAAUAGAUUCGUCUCGCGAUUUAGCCUAGGGGUUGUGCAAUUAGUUUGUAAUUAGACUAUAUUUAAUAUCCCUAAUUAGUAUCCGAACAUCCGAUGUGACAGAGGUUAAACUUUAGCCCCUCCUUCCCAAACACCACCUAAGACACUACCGCUCAUCCAAGAUGUACGUGGCCGAUACUCUAGGUGCUAUUGCUAGUGCUUGGCUUUUCAUUCUAUUUCGCAGAGGCAAAUAGAGAUGGGGCUAUAAAUUUAAUUCCGUAUCAUGUUAUUAUAGUAUAAGACUUGGGAUUGGUCUUGGUUCAAUGUGCACUUUAACAGAAACUUAACCAUCACUGUUAGGUUUAGUCCCACAUCAGAAAUUGAUGAUAGGGAGCACAAUAUAUAUAGGUGGAGACAACCCUUACUCAUCAGGUUAGUCUUUUGUGUUGAGUUAGACCCGAGAUCUUGUUGUUGUGAGCUUUGGUGGACUUGGGUCUGGUGGGGUGCCGGCUUGGGUAUAGCGGGCCGGGCUAGAAUUCGCUGCGCACUCUAACAAGUGGUAUCAGAGCUAAAGGACAGGAAACUUGGAACAUCUCUGAGUCACAUGGUAAUGGGGAGCCCGUGAACAUCUCCGAAGGAUCACACGGGUUGUGUGUGACUGGAGAGUUGGACUCGAAGUCUGGGGAUAACUUCUUCGGGAGAUCACAUGGGGUUGUAUGUGAUGGAAGAGUUGGACCCAAUGUUCAUCAGGCUAGUCUUUAGGAUUGAGUUAGGUCUGAGGUCUUGUUUGCUGUGGGCUCUGGUGGAGUUGGGUCUAGUAGAUACCGGCUCGUGGGUAUAGCGAGCCGGGUCGAAAUCCGCUGCACACUCUAACAAUCACCAAUUUACUUUUAGACUCUUCAAAAUAGCUAAUUUAUAUUGGAACAUGUGUACAAUAAUGUCAGGCUUGUUUUCCACGUUGGUCGUUUUUUAUUUUAAACUAGUCAGUAACCAUCAGUGCCAGUCGAUAGAAAUCAGAAUCCAGUGAAUUAAUUCGAGCGGGCUUUCGUCCAGUGGGACUGUAAACAGAUGCUAUAUGGGCUCGAAGCAAGGGCAGGGCUGCAAAGAAGCUUCUUGGAUCAGCGGGCCUGUAAAGUAAAUAAUAGUUAGGAAUUCCUAACAGUUAUGGACUCAUCACGCUACACUGCCGCUGGGCCCCCAAAGCUGAGGGAGAGACCAAUCGCUCUCUGGUCGUCAGCCUGCUUAAAGAAGAGCCUGCAGAGCAUUUCCAUCGAAUUGCCAAACCCAUCUCUAACAGAAACAAUAUCAUUUUAGAGAAUUUAUUAUGUUCUCCGACAGACUAUCAAUUCUAUCUUAAAUAAAAAAAACUUUUGGUAACUACCAAAAACUUAUCCCCUCUCCCCUUAAUGCAUGUAUAUGAGGAUAUAUCCCCUCCCGUAUCCAUUUUGUUUUUCUGUUUGACGUGUAGACAUUUCACGAGGAGGCCGCGGCCCGUCGAUGUCCCCAUGACGCUGAUUCACAUGAAUGUAGCCAAGUGCUACACUUGAUGAACCACCAAGGCCACUUCUCUGCAAAGGUGUUCAGUGUUCACACAUUUUAAUCUUGAUGCUAGAACAACUUUUCUUACACAGCAGAAUAGUUUGACCCUAUCGCCUGAAUAAAUGUAAAAUUUCAGUCACCCAAGACGUAGCAUCUCUCUUAUUCCAAACAAUUACGAUACCAACUCUAUUCCAAAGGAAAAAAAGAGAAAAAAAAUGAAAGAUAACAACUUAUAUAGAGAAUGCACAACAGAAGCAGCUUUGAUCAGCGUGUGAUGGAUGGAGAACUAUGCACGCGUAGUUCGCCGUUCGCCACGGAAACAACACGCACUCCUCUGUUCCUGCAACUGCAACACGCACAGUCACAUACACGCACUCACUGUGACACCAGCCGUCGUCCCCUCACCAAUGGCAACGGCGGAGCUCGUGGCACGCACACGCGGGUCACCCGCGGCACUUAUCGUAGUAAAAGCACGGCCGGGUGUAGGACGCGCCCUGGGCAGCGCAGCCGCCGCCGCACGCCUGCCUGUUCUUGUUUAGCGUGUCGUAGUUGAUGUAGCGUUGGUCCGCCGCCAGCAGGCUGCCGAACUCCGGCGCCACCGCCUCCUCCAGGCGGCGCCGCUGCCACUUGCUGAUAGGAGCAGCACCAGUAGCGGCGGUGGCCACCCUUGUCCCACGGCCGUGGAUGGUGACCACCCUGACGCCGCCGCCGUAGUCGUCGCUCAUGGCGGCGGCCGCCGGGCAGGAGAAGGGGGAGAGGAGAAGGGCGAUGGCCGCGAGGAGGAGGACGGCGAGGGGCAGCUUGCUGCCCGGCAUUGUGAACCACCGGCUUGGUUUGCUUG